UUUAUAACCAGACAGAACUCACAACCUCCUGGUUACGAAGCGAACGCUCUACCACUGAGCUACCGCGACCCGCCUAGAAAAGUAGCAUAUGAUUAUAACCAGAAAAGUCUCCUCAUACCUUUGUACGUUUUGUUGCUGUUGAUGAUAGUCCUUGGUUGGAAAGAAAAACAAAAGAAAAAACAGCGACGCUAAAAUACAGUUACUGUGGAAGAGAAUUACCGCCAUAAUUCCAUGAACACUUCUUGUAUUCUAAAUUCUAACUUUGAUAUUCCUAUAUGAAAUGUUGACUUCCAUGUUACCUUAUAAUUUUUAUUUUGCUACAUGACAUCCUUAAUUCCAUGUCACAUUAUUAUAUUUCAAUUUUCUAUUUGCUUUUGAACCACCGCGGUGGUCUAAAGGUAGAGCGUUCGCCCUGCAUGCGGAAGGUCGGGGUUCGAAUCCCGGCAAACGUCCAAAUGUCAGUUUCGUAUCCGGGGAGCACUUGUUAUAGCGAACGCCAUGCCCUCUGGUGUAAUAAUGAGACAUAAAAUGACAAAUGCAAUGAAGCACAAUGGGAUUACAAGGAAGACAGAACCACAGAUUAAAUUAAGAAUGUCAGGUUGAAAAUUCUAAGAUAGAAUUUAAAAUGCACAACGAAUGCAAUAAGGUGAGAUGGAAUUAAAGAUGGUAUAUAUAUUAUAAUCAAGAUACUGAUGCAAGACAAAAGAAACUAGAAAAUUGAAAUAUGAUAAUGUGACAUGGGUAAUUCCCUUUCAUAAUUUGCAUCAACUGCGUUAUAUUUUCCGCGUUUAAUGAAUAGGCGGAUCAAAUUUUCAAAUCAUGCAUUUUCUACCAUUCACUACAGAGAGGAAGUGCACGGUCUGACUUGAAAAAUCUAACAAACUGAGUUUACUGACUGUAAAUUACCGUCUUCCAAAUAAGCACACUACUUGUAUCAGAUACAAUGAGUUAAGGCACUAUGCGUUGUUUUUGCAGGUGGAAGGCAGGAAAGGGGGGGGGGGGCAAACGGAGAUAAAAGUUUUUCAUAUUUGUCCGAAAUUAUUAGUUAGCGAGAUAGGUAGUUCUACCAAAAUCGGGGAGGGGGAGGGGCGUUUAUUUUUCAGUAUACUCAGUACGUGAGUUCAAUUCCUCCGCUGUCCAACCUUGAAUUUACACUACCAUUUAUCACUUCUAUAUAUGAAAGAGACCAGCUAAUAAUUUGAUGCUUGUAUAUAAAAAUGAUGAGUUUGGGGUUGUAUGUGACAAUAAAGGGGAGAGUACGCAUGUUAAGUCUCCCCCCCCCCCACCCGUUGCUACGUGCCUGGACAUCGCUUUUUAUUUGGAAUGACUUGAAAAAUCUAACAAACUGAGUAAAUACCCACAUACGGUAAAGGAAAUACACGGUGCAGUGAAAUAUUUUUAGUCGCCUUCCGCUACCACUUUUAAUACUAAUAUGCCAGUGUAAUUCACUGAUAUCUACUUUCUGUCUUAAUAUUUGACAAGUCAACAUCACGAUCAGAAAAAAGUCGAUAUAGUCAUCUGACUAAUGAAAAUGAAAACAUGACAAGUCGACAAACAGAAAAUUAUGUCGAUCAGAACAUUACGCUCAGGCUUGUGAGAUCAUUAUGUUGGAAGGCACCGUUUGUUCGUAACAGCAUUUUACGGUUACUUUUUAAAAAUAGUGGACAAAAUCAUCUGACAAGUCACCCUCGGUCCCGUAUAUCGGACCCCGAGCCUGAUGGAAUGAGAGUACCAAACCCCCGUAUGCGUAACCCGGACGGAGUUUACCCAAGAUUGAGCGGAGGUAUAAAUGUCUAGGUGUUGCGUGAUUGGCUAAUAUCAAGAGUGAAAUUAUUUGGAAUUGAAAGAAAUAUUAUAGAGGUUCAAAUUAAUUGUCAGGAUGAAAAAUUAUCGCACAAAAUCGAGAAAUGACUGAGGAAAUUACCAUGGUAGGGGUGUGCUUAAAAUGAAGUGUGUAAUUUACUGCAGAUUGCUAUGUGUUGUAAAAAAGUACAAAUAUGGCCUAUAAAAGGCACGGGACCCUAUAUAUUUUUUGUCAUUUUUUAUCAACACUUGGAAUGAACUUUGAAAUGUUUGCGGUCAUUUGUUUAAAAUCGAUAUAGUUAAUUAGUGAGAGGGCCAAAGGUUAACAUUGAGGUCUAUGGGAAAUGAAUUGGUACUCUUUUCCCUGAUAGUCACCCUCAGUCCCCUUAUAUCGGACUUCGAGCCCGAUAGUCACCCUCUGUCCCGAAUAUUGGACCUCGAGCCCGAUAGCUCUUGGCCUGAUAUAGUGUUUGUCAUUUUAACCAGUUUAUGUGUGCUUUAACGAACAUGUGCUAUUUUCUGAUGUUGACAUGUAUUUCCGUUUAUGCAUGUUUGAUAUCUCUUAAAACGUAGCAACAUGUACAUUGUCUUUGGUUAUUUAAACAAGUGAGAAGUGGUAGAGUUUUUCUAGUUUAAACCUAUGAUAUGGCAAAGUCACACAUUGAAGUUUACUAUAUUUUGUUAUUAUGAAAGGUAUUUUGUGGAUUAUUUUCCUCUCAGUAUUAUCUAUUUCUAUGAGCUCACUCCAUCUUGUUUUGCCUGUUGUCACAGAGGAUUUUUUGUUUAGAAGUUCAUAAAAGCAUUAGGAUUUUUUUUUACAUUUCAGUACAUAGUAUAUGUUUGACAUAAUAGAUGGAUUUGCCAACUUUUUAGAAUUAAUGUUUUUGAAAGACUUUUUAAUCCAAUUCUUUAUUGCAUGAAUGAUGCUUGCAUAUUCCAAGAAAUUGAUUUUCACAUUCGGAUAAGUAUCACAAAAAGUUUCAUAGCUAAAAAAACAACUACUAUCUUCUUCAAUAAUAUCAUUUAUGUGUCUGAUGUUACUGUCAGAGAGAUUUUUUAUUUUAAAAAAAAAUCCCACCUAUACGAAUCAUAUGAUUAUGAAAUAGAGGUGUAUCUGCAGUAGCAUUUGAUUCUGUACAAACAUUGUGUAGUUCAACCCAGGAUCUGAUUACACCAAUCCAAAAGUUAUUUUUCAAGGAUUUCAAGAGUAACUUGACAUAUUCACAGAUUGAAAAAUUUCAGUAAUUGAUAAAUGAGAAAGAAAAAAGAGAGAGAAUCAAUAAUAUAUUUGCAUAAAUCUGAAUUCAUUACAGUACGUAAUAUUUUCAUUGAAUGAAAAACGGGAAUUAUUCCAACUAUCCAUUUAACAUUUUGCGUUCUGCUGUGUUAAAAAAUGUUGCCCUCAAAGCGGAAUCACUCGGAUCGCCUCAACGCCAAAAUCGAUAGAUUUGAUUUGUCAUGUAAAGAUCAUGGAAUCGAUCCCCCCACCCCCACCCCCCACCCCCCCAAUAAUAAUAAUUGAUACAGUCGGUUUCUUUAGAAUAUGUAAUUCUAAUGAAAUUAUUACGUAUUUUGAAACAUUCACUCCACAAGCAUAUCUACAACUUAGCGGAGUCACAUGACAAACUGAAAGGUUCUCGAUGAAAAUAAUACAUUUUACAUUGAACAUUGACAAUAUACUAGAUGAAAAAACAACAUUUUAUCCUUUUUCUAACUCCUGUGAGAGAAAUAUUCUUGUAGAAUAUAUUAUGCAUCAUUUCCCGCAGGCGUUCAUCCUAACAUGGUCGAAAUUGAGUCGAAUUUGAAUCAAAUGAUAUAUCUUUUUUGUUAGAUCUGACUUGUUCGUUUCUAAAAAUAGAAAUCUGAAUUCCUUUGACUCAUGAAUUUAACAACAUCUGCGGGGUCACUGCUCGGCGGACCCUUAGUGAUCAGCCAUCGUCUGAGAAACCUAGCCAUUCAAUUUACAGAUAGCUAAGAGGAGAUUUGGAAAAUGUUAAUUAGUGUCUGUGUUUUGACCAAUGAAAAAAUUGUACACCAGACAGCGAUGCGCAGACGUCUCGAAUUUUACCUUGGAGUCCGUCGUGAUUGGUUGGGUGUAACCCAGGAAUGCCAUGGGGAGAUGACUCCGGUAAUCUUCGUUACAAAGAAAUCCUAUUGCUACGAAAUGACGGCCUGUAUGACACAAAGAACACACAUACGAUUGAUUGAUUGAUUGGAUAUUGUUUAACGUCCCGCUCGAGAAUUUUUCACUCACAUGGAGACGUUACCAUUGCCGGUGAAAGGCUGCAAAAUUUAGGCCUACGCUCGACGCUUACGACCUUUGAGCAGGGAGGGAUCUUUGUGCCACACCUGCUGUGACACGGGACCUCGGUUUUUACGGUCUCAUCCGAAGGACCGCCCUAUUUAGUUGCCUCUUACGACAAGUAAGGGGGUACUGAGGACCUAUUCUAACCCGGAUCCUCACACAACCGUCAGAGAGUCAGACCUACUCCCGCCGUCUCUCCGAUAUGGGACUUAUAUAAUCAACAUUUAUUAUAUUCAAAUUUUGAACGUGAAUAUUAUCCUAUUCUACAUGAAAGUUGUCAAAUCUCUGUAAUGUUUCGAAAAUGAAGUUAUGACAUGCAUGGACGCAGAAAUAAAUUACAGAUGUAUUAAGACAUGCUGUGUGGGUCGCAUUUUCGAUAACAUUGUCAUACCUUGUUUGGGGUUAGUAGCAAUGAUAAACUAGGUUGUAGUGAUUAGAUAAUAGAGUAACACAUCACUGGAAAUUUCUUAUGUUAAAGAAUAUCAGUUCUUAUAUUCUGUUUGGGGUUUUACAUCUUAUUUUGUACACUUUUUGGGCUUUCCACCUCAAUCACACUGUUGGUUUAUUCUAACUUACUUUAAAAUUACUUGAAUAUCUCAAGGACAAUUUCAUGAUUGCAUUUUAUAGACACAUGGUGACAUUAUUUCAAAUAUCAGCCAUGUUUAAGAUAAGUCGAUGAGCGACCUUCUGUUGGGCGAUGUAGUUCUGUAAUCAACAGACAAAAAUAUAUAUAUUACUUUUCACAGCCAAAAAAUUGCAUUCACGGUAAUUUGGAUAUUUUUUGAUUGACUUUACAUUUGCAUUAUUUGAAAGGGAUAAACUAUUACAGUGUAGUUAGAAAAACUAGUCACGUGGUGUUCGUAAAAAUUUGGAUGUAUCGAAAGACGAUGACAUCUGUAAUGUCACAGCGCAAAACCGAAGUUAAAGGCCGAAUGUUCAACCAGAUUAUAUCUUCAGAACCUUUUGCUUGACAGACAACAAACUCGAUACACUGGUAUACCCCUAAGAAUCAGAUAUCCCCUAUUGACUUUAAAUUAACAAGUUCAAGGGUCAAACUGGGCAUAUAAGUUUUUGUCCACUCAAUAUUGAAAGGAACCUUUGCUUGACAGACAUCAAACUUGAUACACAGGGGUAUAUCCUAAGAGGUAAAUGACCUUUAUUGAUUCUGAGGUCUUAAAGUUAAAGGUCAAACUAUUCUGGACACAAAAAAUAUUGUCUAUUGUAUCUGAUGAAUCCUUUGAUGACAGACAUCAAACUUAGUUCACUGGGACCCCCUAGAGAGUAGGUGACCCCCACUAGUUUUCAGGUCACAGGGUCAAAGGUCAAUACUCAAAUAACUGGUAUUUGGAAAUGUCUACUUUGUAUCUUGAAAGAUCAAACUUGGUAUUGUGGCUGCCUUUAACUAGUAAAUAAGCCAUAAUUUUCACUAUCAUUAUGCCCCCUUCAAAGAAGAGGGGCAUAUUGGUUUACACCUGUCGGUCGGUCGGUAGACCACAUGUUGUCCGCUCAAUAUCUUGAGAACCAUUCACUUGAUGAUAAUGAUAUUUCAUAUGUGGGUUGGUUAUGAGUAGAAGAGGACCCCUAUUGUUUUUCAGGUCAAAAAGUCAAGGGUCAAUUUACUCUGGACAUAGAAAUAUACUGUCCGUUCAAUAUCUUGAGAACCCUGUGCUUGACAGACAUCAGACUUGGUACACUGGUACAUCUUCAGGAGAAGAUGACCCCUGACGUUGGAAUAUACUGUCAGCUCAAUAUCCUGAGAACCCUUUGUUUGACAGACAUCAAACAUUAUACACAUGUACAUCUUCAGGAGAAGAUGACCCCUAUUGAUUUUGAGGUCACAUGGUCUGGGGUCAAACUGGACAUAGUAAUAUACUGUCCACUCAAUGUAUUGAUAACCCUUUGCUUGACAGACAUCAAACUUAGUACACUGGUAUAUUUUUAGGAGAAGAUGACCCCUAUUGAUUUUGAGGUCACACGGUCAAAGGUUGAACUGGACAUAGUAGUAUAUUGUCUCCUAUAUUUUAAGAAUUAUUUGCUUGAUAGACACCAAACUUUGUACACUGGUACAGCAUAAGGAAUAGAUGACUCCUAUUGAUUUUAGGUCACAUGGUCAAUCCACUCUUGACAUAGGAAGAUAUUGUUUGCUCAAUAUUUUGAAUUGAUGCUACUAUCAAUUAAAUGAUGUGUGUGUAUAACCCUUUUCAAUUUUGCACCAUGUGGGUCAUAUGUGUUUUACAAACAUCUCUUGUUACAUUCUUAAUUUACAGUUGAUCAUUUUCAAUAUUGUCACAUUGGGGCAUAUAUGUUUCUUAAAUAUUUCUUAUUUACUAGAACUUUUGAUUGUGCAAUUCAUCAAAUAUUUGAUAAAAAGAAUUCUAUAGAUCAUGCACAUUUCUGUCCGCUCUACAAAUAGCUAAGUGGUGAACGGCUGCAAUACUUUAAUGACAUUCAGCCCAGUAAGACACCAGACUAGAAUGGAUCCCUAUCUGAUAUACCCUUCUUCAGUAUUUGACAAAACUUCAACUCACUGAAGAUUACUUGUCGGUGCAUGCAUGACCUUGAUAGUAUUUACUCAAUUUUCAAAAAUUAAGUGAUCAGUAUUUAUAAAGUGAUUUUCAUAAAGUUAAGAUCUAUUCUGAAAUGGGUGCUGAUUAGACUACUAAUGGUGGGAGUAGAUUCCAUGUCACUGUUGUUUGUGGGGAAAAGGACCAUUUGUAAGUCUUAGGAUGUCUGUAGGUGUCUGAGUGUUUGUGACUGCUUUCUGGUUCUACUGUCUCUGUGUAUAAGGAUAUGAUUUAGUCGCUGUAACAACACGAUGUUGCAGAUUUUGCACAAUUUGUAGAAGAUAACUAGUCGUGAUUUCAAUCAGCUGGAGCUGACCGCCGCAGUGUAUUUAUCAUGUUGGUGACACUGCUAGUGUUAUGUGGUAAUUGUUAUCCACAUGUUGCGAGCUGCUCGACGUUGUAUAGAUUCUGGAUUUUGUUUGUCCUAUGAUGUGUGAAGGUUUCAUAUGCCACAACUGUAUUCUAGUUUUGUUUGCUCGUGAUUUUAUGUCAGCAUCAGAAACUUUUAAAUUCCGCCUUUAAAAACCAAGUGCUUUAUUUGUUAUCUAGAGGGGACCCCUAGGUAUUUUUGUCAAUAUAUAGAUUCAAGUGUGCGCUCGUGCGUGUAAUGGUGAGUUUUCUACAAUUACGUGGUCGGAAAGCGAUGACCCAAUCUCAUUCCCACUUUUCUGCUUCAUCUAGAUCCGAGAAUACUUCUCUGUGUUUUAAUUUCUGUAUGAAUAAUGUUGUAUAUGCUUAGCGAAUUAAAAAGGGAUUUCUAUUUCGACACAUAAACCAUAUUGAAUUUAAUACUGAGGGACCCUAUAUAUGAAGACAUAUUAGUUAACUCGUUCUUAUGGCAUAUUUAUAACGAACCGUCUUGAGAACGAGUUAACAAACCCCUAAAUGUACUGAUUAGUUAACCCGCUCUUCAUCUAGCACAAUAGUUAUUAAAGUAAAACUAGCUCUAAAUCUGAAAUUUUUAUACCCCCCGCAACAAGUUGGGGGGGGGGGGAUACUGGAAUCGGGUUGUCCGCCCGUCUGUAGACGCAAUGGUUUCCGGGCUCUAAAGUAUUAUCCUUUCCACCUACCGUCACCAUAUCAUAUAUAUGGACUACCCAUGGGAUGAAGAUGUUCCCUAUCGAUUUUGGGGUCCAAAGGUCAAGCGCACUGGACAUUGAAGUAGCAAUAUGGUUUCCAGGCUCUAAAGCGUUAUCCUUUCCACCUACAGUCACCAUAUCAUACAUAUGGACUACCCAUGGGAUGAAAAUGCUCCCUAUCGAUUUGGGGGUCAAAAGGUCAAAGGUCAAGCGCACUGGACAUUGAAGUAGCAAUAUGGUUUCCGGGCUCUGAAGCGUUAUCCUUUCCACCUACAGUCACCAUAUCAUACAUAUGGACUACCCAUGGGAUGGAGAUGUUCCCUGUCGAUUUUGGGGUCAAAAGGUCAAAGGUCACGCGCACUGGAUAUCGAAGUAGCAAUAUGGUUUCUAUUUAAAUUCUUUAACGGCUUUUUUCAUCGCAUGGAACAUCCUUUGGGAGAUUGGGGUAAGCGGGGAGUAUUCUUAGUGAGCAUUGCUCACAGUACCUCUUGUUUAUUUUGUUGAAGAAAUGUGCUGUUAUGAUAGUUUUGUAUGUAACUUUAACCAUAGUCAUUGAUAAAAUUAAAACUAUGUUUAAGAUUUUAUCAAAAUAAAGAUUUCGGUUCUAUAAAAUAUAUAGCAUUAUACAGAAGCCAGUUUGUGUACGGGAAGACAAUAAUGUAAUUUUACUUCAUUCAGGGCCUCUGGAUAGGUAUUCUAACACAGAUAUUAAUAACACUAAAGUAUAUAAACCAUUUUUUUGUCACUGAAAUAGUAAAUCACAAUUUUGCAACAAAAAAUUUGACACCAAAAUGACAGCUAGUAUCCCUACUUGUAUAAUUGAUAAUUAGUUCAUUUAGUCUUGACGCUCGUUCAGAACAGACGUGGAUUUAUUACCCUAUAUUGCACUCGAUACUCUCAAUAUGUAGAUGUUCUGUCUGUUCUCAGGUUUUAGUGCAAGUUUGCAUUUUCUUUAGUUAGUUUUCAUUUCUAUGUAAAUAUUCUGUCGUUCUGAAGAAGGAACACGAAACUUUGACAGGAUCAGCUCGUGGUCAUUAGUAGUCAUUAGUAGUUGUUUACGUUUGUUUUACGUCCCGUCGAGAAUUUCUCACUUAUAUUGAAACGACACCAGCUGUAGGUGAAGUACCACAAAUUUAGACCUACAUAUACCGUGACGGGUUGGUCCUUUAUAUAUAUAUAUAUAUAUAGAUGUAUGUGUGUGUGGUUUAAAGUUAAAGGGUAUGGGUAGGAUUCAGAAAUAUAUAAACGUACAUUUACACAGGUUCAUUUUUAUAAAUAAUCAAGAAUGAUGUAUAUUGCAAUGUAUCCAAUGAUAAUAACAAAAUAAAAAUAACUAACAAAUACCAGCCCAUACCCACCCCCACACCAAAAAACAAAAUCUAUGCUACAAUACUAAUGAUGAAUUAUUGUUGUAAUAGAAUAGUUUUGUGUCGACAAGACUAGUGUGUGGAAUUUGUUUGAACAUUUUCUUUUCUACGUAAUGAAAAGAAAAACACGACUUUAUAAUCUGAAGAUCUUACAUCACGUGUUGCCAGUGACCCCAACUCGAUAAUCUUACAUCACGUGUUGCCAGUGACCCCAACUCGAUAAUCUUACUAUCUAUGCCACCAAUAACUCUACGGGGUUACCGUCAAUUCACAUUCAACUUUACAAAAGCCGACGAUUUUAAAAAUGUGAUGAAAAUGAAUCCUCACCUUUCCGAAUUCAUUGUCAUUUAUUCAUCUAUCGUUCUAACUAUGAUUCUGCUUAUUUUGUGUAUAAAAGCACCUUUUACAAUGCUAAAAAAACGUGGUUGUGCUGAACUAAAAUUCGUUAAUUCAACAAUAAAUAGAUUCAUUUUUCCAAGUAGCAGAUUAAUUUACGUCAAUAUUGAUUGGAAAAAGUAAUUUUUGCUGACAUAAAUUUAAGGAGAAAGGGGAAAGUGCAAGUAUAUCUUGUUUACCGGAAAGAACAAAAUUGAUGAGUUGGAAGUUAUUAGGAAAUGAUGUGUUGCUAACAUGUUCACGCAGGAGUGGAAUGUAAUAAAGGUGGGUUUUGGUUGGUUUUAAUAUCAUUGUUUUGUUUUGGUAUUUUUUGUUGCUGUUGUGUUGUUGUUUUGGGGUUGGUCUUUUCUUUUUUAUUUGGUAAAUAUUCAAUAGAAUUGUAAUGAUCUUUUAUCUAGAAGCUCGGACAAAUAUUUCAUUUUUCAAUAUAACGUAAGUUACUGUAGACUGAAUAACAUUAUUGAUACAUGUGUAGAUGAAACAAUAUUGAUAUUCAUCUUAUUUUCGCAUAACUAGCUCGGACUCUUGCCAAUGUUAACUUCAGUAAAAAAUAGCAUUUUAUUCUUGGUAGCAAAAAUAGAAAUAAUGUGUUUGUUACAAAAUCUGGAGGGCAUCGCCACUGUAUUUUGGUUUCUAUAUUUCGGCGAUCUCAACGUCAUCAAAAUGUAUUAUGGAUCCAUAUUAUACAUGUACAGCUGCAAACAUGCAUUAAAACUGAAUUAUAACCGGACUGCGAGGUCGCUCGUACCGCCCACACAAAAUUUCCAUACGUAUCAUUAAUUAUGGAAUAUGACAUACAUCACUACAAAAACAUAUGUCUGAAGGGAAUAUUGAGUCAUACAUGUAGGCCUACAUCAUGACCAAACGGAAUAUCGACACAUACAACAUGGCCACAAACACGUGACCAAACGGAAUAUCGAGUCAUACAUGUACAUCAUGGCCACGAACACGUGACCAAACGGAACAUCGACACAUACAACAUGGCCACAAACACUUAUCUGAAUAAAUGGAAUAUCGAGACAUGUAUCAUUACCACUAACACAUGUCCAAAGGACUGAUUAUAAAAGUUACAUAUCAAAAACCCACUAACUCCACAAUAAUAUUUGAUCCUUGACUCUUGGAUUGGAGUACAUUUAUUACAUUAGACUUAUUCCGUACUGGUGUCUUUCAAAAAGCGAUGUUUUAUCUUCACCAGGAAUACCCAGAUGCAAAACUAUAAACAGUAACGAUUUUGACAAAUGAGCAUCUCUGGUGUGUUCAUCCUCUGUCACCCCUCAUUCCUGUACACCGAGGUCUGAGAACAUUUAUAACAAUUCCUGUACACCGAGGUCUGAGAACAUUUAUAACAAUUCCUGUAUACCGAGGUCUGAGAACAUUUAUAGCAAUUCCUGUAUACCGAGGUCUGAGAACAUUUAUAGCAAUUCCUGUGUACUGAGGUCUGAGAACAAGAACAUUUAUAACAAUUCCUGUAUACCGAGGUCUGAGAACAUUUAUAACAAUUCCUGUAAACCGAGAUCUGAGAGCAAGAACAUUUAUAACAAUUCCUGUAUACCGAGGUCUGAGAAUAUUUAUAGCAAUUCCUGUAAACCGAGGUCUGAGAACAAGAACAUGUAUAACAAUUCUUGUAUACCGAGGUCUGAGAACAAGAGCAUUUAUAACAAUUCCUGUAUACCGAGGUCUGAGAGCAAGAACAUGUAUAACAAUUCCUGUAUACCGAGGUUUGAGAACAUUUAUCGCAAUUCCUGUAAACCGAGGUCUGAGAACAAGAACAUUUAUAACAAUUCCUGUAUACCGAGGUCUGAGAACAUUUAUAACAAUUCCUGUACACCGAGGUCUGAGAACAUUUAUAACAAUUCCUGUAUACCGAGAUCUGAGAGCAAGAACAUUUAUAACAAUUCCUGUACACCGAGGUCUGAGAACAAGAACAUGUAUAACAAUUCCUGUAUACCGAGGUCUGAGAACAAGAACAUGUAUAACAAUUCUUGUAUACCGAGGUCUGAGAACAAGAGCAUUUAUAACAAUUCCUGUAUACCGAGGUCUGAGAACAUUUAUAACAAUUCCUGUAUACCGAGGUCUGAGAACAUUUAUAACAAUUCCUGUAUACCGAGGUCUGAGAAUAUUUACAGCAAUUCCUGUAUACCGAGGUCUGAGAACAAGAACAUUUAUAACAAUUCCUGUAUACCGAGGUCUGAGAACAUUUAUAACAAUUCCUGUAAACCGAGGUUUGAGAACAAGAACACUUAAAAUUGUUAAAGGUUCGCCUAAUUCAGCCUGACUUGUUUUAGUCCAGUAUAAUAUAGCAACAUACCAGUAUCGUAUGCUAUACACAGCUAUGUUUGUGUUUAUAUCAUGGACACACAUCCAGUGCUGUAGUUUCUAAUUAAUGAAGAGAAUGUCAAAAUAAGCCCCCGAUUUCCAAAAAGAAAAGAAUAGAAUAGAAUGAUUUUGCUACCUGUUGUAACACACAAAUCAUGUCAGAAAUCUUUUCUUUAAACAUCAGAGGAAGGCACAACAAAAUUGUUUCUCUACUUGAUGACACAAACGUUUAUUACAGCGAAACGUAGAUUCUGUUUACACUGUCAUUGUUAAGCAGUGUUAUCUAUGUCAUUCUGCAUUUUUUUAAAUUUACUGGGUGGACGUGAAUACAAAAAUUACAAUAUGACACAUACCAUUAUGUAGUAGUUACACCACAUGAUAUUGUUGGUUAUGUGUAGAUACCCGAUGGGCGUGGACAUAAUGGCACAGGAGUGUAGCUCCCGAGUGGCAUUAUGACCACGCCCAUGGGAUAUCUGAAAAUAAUCAACAAUAUUAUAUGAGGUAAGUGACUUGUACCAUAGUUUACUAUUAUUCAUUAUAUUUCAUUAUAGCUUUCGGAAGCGCGGUCGCCUGUUUACAAUAUGAUGCCAAUUGUUUUUUGGUCUUUACAUUACACUAUGUACACCCUAUAUUUCUAUCAAAAUGACUUUCUAUCACUGAAAAUGGAUGAACAAUAUUUUUUUUGGGGGGGGGGGACUUUUUUUAAAUGCAUAUAAAUGUUUAGACUGUUGGUUUUGAAAUUUUUAUUUCCCAUUUACUCAUUUACCGACUUCUAGUACCGGUAUUUGCUUCAAAGAUAAAUGCAAUUAAAAUUCUAAGAACCCAUUUUUCUAUUUAAAAAAGCAACAUAUAUAACUGAUGAUGGUAGCUACUCUUUUAAAAAUCCUAUUUGAUAUUCUUCAUUAUAAUUAUACAUAUUUUGUCUAAAUUGGCUGAAAAACAUUUACAUGUAUACACAAUUAAUGGAUUUAAAAAAAAUCGGUGAAACAUAUGCGGAAAAAAAAUGAAGAAUUCUAUGGCGUGAAACCAUAAAAGAAACACGACAUGUCUGAUUGGCCGCUGCUGUUCACCCUGUCCACAAAACAAGUUUAUCUCUCAAACGCGUUCUUAUCACGUGACUGGGUCUUUUAUAAAAUCUUUAUAAAUGAUACCCGUAUUUCUACUGACACGUGUUUCUCGACUUGUUCGCACACAUGGAGGAGAAUAUGGAAUAGAAAGUCUUUGAGACGAAACCAUUGACGAUAUUAUUUUGUCUCAAACUUCAAAUGAGAUUUAGUGCGAAUAUUUAUUUGGAGAACUUAGUCUGACUCAUUUAUCUGUGUUUGAUAUGGGCAAUUUUGAUCUGGAGGAACUUCAUACAGUGGACAUUGAUGUUGUUUUUUCGACUUUGUGGGCGAGAUUUAAUGAAAAGUGUGGGUUAUGUACAGAUAACCCACACUUUUAACAAAAGAGAGCACGCCAAACUAUGGUACAAUUAGGAAAAACAAGAUAGGUUCUAUUGAUUUUCUAGAUAACCCGUUCUAUUUCUAGGAAAUUUGGGUAUUGAAGUCCAUCCCUUCAAAGACGAGCAGGGGAAGUGGAAACAACCCUCGUCAUUUAAUCCUUUAUACUGUUUGUAAUUAUAUUACAUUUUUGAAAUACACAAUAAAAAAAUUAUUGAUAAUAUCUGAUAAUAUAUCAAUGACACUGGUAUUCAACAUGGAUCUUUUGUCCUGGAUGAAUUCCAGGUAGGGGCUACCACUUCUAAAUAUAGCUUCACUAAACGCUUCUAAGAUACAGACUUCCUGCGCCGUGGUUUCCGGUAUUUAACGCCGGUGGUUUUCUAAGAAAACUAUUUGUAUAUACACUACUAUUGUAGAGGAACAAACACCAGUGUGUAUACCUGCGUUACGCAAUAUACAAUUACAAGCAAUGUCAAAGACAAAAAAAAUGGUAUACUGAAAGUGAAUCGACUAUCUAAAAUCUUGCUUUGAACUUUUGAGUUCGCUAAACCAUUACUCUCAAAUGACGGUUUGACGUAAAGCCAGUCCCGAGAAAGCAUGGAAUUAUGUCAAAUAUUUUUAAACAUGGGAUUUUUAAAACAAGAUUGAUUGAUCAUUGUUUAACGUCCCUAUCGAACAUUUUUCACCCAUAUGGAAACGUCACCAUUGCCGGUGAAGGGCUACAACAUUUAGGCAUAUGCUCGGCACUUACGGUCUUGAGCAGGGAGGGGUCUUUAUCGUACCACACUUGCUGUGACAAGGGGCCUCGGUUUUCACGUUCUCAUCCGAAGGACCGCCCCAUUUAGUCGCCUCAUACGACUAGCAAGGGGUACCGAGGACCUAUUCUAGCCCUGGGCCGGGUUUCACAAAACUGUCUUAAGAUCUGUCAUAAGAUAGAUCGUAAGAGUAUCUUAAGAUCUGACUUACGACAAUCAUAAGAUAGGGCAGUACCGUUUCACAAAACUAUCUUAACUUCAAGAAAUCUUAAGAUAGAUCUUAGGACGUUGUUACAUGUACAUGUAUACUCAUUACAUAAAAUACCGUGUUUCCUUUAUAAUCUUUUAACUGCAUAGAUGAAUUUAAAUGUUACACGUAAAUGAAAGAUUAAAGGAAGUUGAAAUAUUGCGAUUUUAGGCAUUUGUAAUUAUCUAAUAUAUCUAUAAAAUUUGAUACACUGUACUUGUUUUUUUUAAAUCAUGUGACCUACACUUUAUUUCGUAUUUCAAAAGUUACAUUCGAUUUGUGUACUAUUUGAUUUCAGAAAUUGUGAUACAAAAAUUUAAAACAUUGAAUGACAUUUUUGUAGAAACACUAUAUCAAAGUCUGAUAUAUAUAUAUUUUUUUAUUUUCUCUCCCCAUUCCUCUCCUCCGAAAAUAAAAUAUUUGCUUAACUAAUUUGAAAUAUAAAGAAAAAGACAAUCUAGAUUGUUGCGUUUGUUACAAGUUAGCAACGCCGCACUUGUUUUAUUCAACAAAAUAAUAUACUGAAUACAAAAAAGGGUAUUCAGUAAACGAGGGUGUGGGUGGGUAGGGAAAACCAAAGACACAAGUAAUACUUAAGCAAACUUAUAACGAACGACGCAUUAAUCGAACAAAACGCGUGUAAGUAUACGCAUGUUCGACUAUACAAUGUACAUGUAUACUGGGCGCAAAGGCUUUCCUAUGUGAAAAAGCCUAUAACUGAAUGAAAUGAAAUAGUACGAAAACUAAAUAAACAUAAAAACGUGAUGAAAUAGAUUCACCCAACACUGCUUUUGUGCCUACAAACAAUAAAUGAAUGGUAUUCGAAUACGUUUAAUUGUGAUCACACAGCGGCUACGAAGUUCGUGUGCAUGCACUCAGACAAAUCGGUGUCAAAAGAUUUUAUGAAACGAUUCCCAAACUUUUCAGUUGCUGAAAUAUCAGUAUUGUUUGACAAGGUGGGGGGGGGGACAUUUGUUUUUAAGAUGCUGUGAAUUCAACAGAUUAUGUCCGGUCGGGUGAAGAAAUGAAGAAAAAGUGGAUAUGCCUAAACAGCGAAAGUAGGAAAAAGUUGGCUAUGGGAUAUUCUAAACGAAUAUUGAGUAAAGAACACAUGUCGCGGUAUACGGAGUUUAUCAAUGAUGUCCACAUCCUCCAUAUAGUCUAAUAGAUUGUUUCUGUCCCUGAAACCACGUUCCCUCCGGAUAAUCUACCUAUCUCUAAGCACAACAUAGUUCAGUAUAGACUUAAGACAAGUAUCUGGAUGUCUUAAGAUUUCUAACAAUCUUAAAAUUAUCUUAAGAUAUGACAGUUUUGUGAAACAGCUAUGAUGGAUAUUAUGGCAAAUUUUGGUCUCAAGACAGGUCUUAGGAUAGUUUUGUGAAACUGGCCCCUGAUCCACAAGAAGUGAUAUUUUGAUUUUCAUACAAUUUUUAAGGCAGACUAGUUGAAGUUAGGGUUUGUAUGUUAAGGGAGUUGAUUCAAUGAGUAGAGCAAAUAGCUAUAUUUGCAGCUGGGAUUUUUCGCUCCCUACACCCAUGAUAUCUGGUACAUAUACUGGAGAACAAACAGUAUUUUAUGGAUGAUGAGGUGGAUUUUGAUGGGGGAGGGGUUCUGAAAGAUAGGUGAAGAGUUUUCUAAUGUUUUACAGUUAAUGAUAAGAAGGGGUGUUUGUUUGGGGGGGGGGGGGGUUGUAGUUUUUUGUUUGGUGUUUUUUUUUGUUUUGGCAAUGGGUUGUGUAAAACGUUUAUUUCUGAAAAUUUAAGUUCUCUGCACUUUAUACCUCAGAAUUGCUGAUUUGGGCAAUUGACCCUAUUUGAUGCACAAAAUUUUGAAACGCAUUCAACCUCUUUACACUAUCUAUACAACCACAGAUAAUUUUGCUGAAACAAAAUUAGCAUGUUUGAUAAAGGUGGUUCUGAAGUCUGCAGUUGAUGAUCUAUCUAAUCACAUGACACGUUUAGUUUUCUUGACACGUCAUCGGUUGACGGGCGCAAAAAUACCAAAUUGUCCGAUAGUUUGUAGAACAGCGAGACAAGUGACAUAUUAGAUUCUCCGAGUAAUAUCCAGACAGAGCGUCAUAAAAGGAGGACCGAAGAGCUGUACCGCCAUCACCGAAACAGGCGUCUAAAGCUGAACGACCACUGGAACAAGUGUCGAUUCCAAGGUCGAGAUGACAUUAGAAACGAAGUUAGAACUUUCAAUGGAUCUCCAUCUACUCAAAAUACAGUACACUAAAAAUUAAGUACAGAUAACAGUAAAAAUCGUUUUCUACGUUUUACAUAAGCUCUACAUUACGGUAAACGCGGUGUAUUGUGACAUCACAAUAGUCCUAGUCAUUUCCCGGAAGUGAACUCUCAUACACGGUAAGGAGCUGAAGGAAUUUGUUUACACGCGGGGUGGGAUUACAAGUUUUUGAUGUACAGUUUAAUCAGAUACAUAGAUCGUGUAAGUAAUCCGCAUUCAGAGAGAAAGGAAACACGAGGAAUGCUUAUUUAUCACGUUAUUUCGUUGCUCAUACGUUAUAAUACGUUGACGGUGCUACCGUUAAGGCGAGCCCAGUUACAUAUACACGUUUACAUCAAGGAUUUUUUUCCUUACUAUUACUUACUAUUUCACAUCUGGUAGUGCAUAAAAACAGGCAGCCGCAAAUAUACGUAUUUCCUACCGAUCCUCCACUCCUCUGUAUCCGCACCUGGCAAACGCACGUCAUCUAAUGCAAUCGAAAUGUCGCUCGGCCUUUUCCGUCAAGACGAGAGAAAAAAAAAAAGAAAAAAAAAAAAUAAUAAUUUUUUUUGGGUGUUUUCUGAUGACCAAAAACAGUUAUAUUGUGCUAUACUGUUGUAGAAAUAGAUAAAAUUUAUCGAGCUUAUCAACAUUUGUUGAUUUUCAGCAUUUAAAGGCAUGAAAUGAAACUUAAACUCCGUGGGUCAUUCUCUGAGACUACUAUUCCAUCACCUUCGAAAGCCAAGCGUUUUCAGUCCACAGCGCUCUCGAGCGGAUUGGACCAAAAACUCUUGGCUUGGGAAGAUGUCUUUCCCUGUGGCUAAGUUGUAGCGUAACGCUAUAUAUUGGACUGGCUGGAUCUUGUACCUACAUGUACCAGUAGUGGAAAACAGAAGAAAGACUUAUUCGUUCAUCUAUUUUGUGCCGGAUCAAUUCGAGAAACCUUUUAGGUCGAAUGUUGAACCCCAUCUUUUAAAUGACUUAAGUGAAGUUAAUAAUAAAACCCAUAUUAUAAGUUAAUUUGAAUUUAAGAUACCGAUAAUCAAUUGUGAAAAUCAAUACUCAAUUGGACACAAAUGUAUAUUGGUUUUCAAAGCCUUUUAUAUCAUUAUCGUAUCGUGUAUGUAACAAAUUUAAAAACGAUUUGCACACCAAUUUCAAGUAGCAAAUUCGUGAAUUUUAUAACAUAAUUACGAAUUGUUGAUGAUUUGAAAUUACAAUUUGUUGUAAAUUAUAAGAUGAAAUUAGCUAAUUUAUGUUAAUGGUUGUAUAACUUUCUCGCGAUGGAGCAGACUGCAGUUGAACCCGUGAUCUCUUUAUCUUCAAUCAGGUGUCAUCGAGGAACGUCAUCAUUGGUGAUAGAAACAGACUUCACAGUCUGAACAGAACGUUUUGUCAGGUACCAGACAACCAACCAAAAAGCGAUGAAAUCUUGCAAUGGACUGUGCUUUUGGAGGGAAAUCAAGUCACAUAAUGGCGCGCAACAGAGGAAUAAUGUGUUUAUAUAUAAACAUGGAUCUAGGGCAUUAAAUCGUCGGCGCGACGUUCUGUGGAGUGCAGUUAAACCUGUGUUGUAUCUACCAGACAUAUCUGGAGCGGGUCAUUGCCCCGCGUGCUUCUAUAUUUAUAUAUUUCAUUAUAUAAUAAACACAAACCAGACACGGCAUACAAAGUAUGAAUGCGUUGUUUUCUUAUUUUUAAAAAGCAUACAUGUGUCCAUUACUGAAUUCAGAGAAAAUAUUCAAAUUAUUUGUUAUCUAUAUCAAAUAUGACUUUUAAGAUUUUAAAAUAAUGGCUCAUUUACGUUUGAUGAUACCAGUUUGAACAUAAUCUGAUCAAUGAAAUUGGGUUACAAAUUCAGAAAACUUCGGAAAACCUUCCAUAUAUGGAUAAUGUAGUACAAUGAAAUGCAUGUUAAUGAUCCGAGAUAUUAAAAUGUAAUGAAUUCAAUGCGUGAAAGAGGUAUAACUCUUUUAGGCUUGCCGCACAUGAGACUGAGGGCAUGAUGCCCGUGAAAAGAGAAAGAUUGAGAGAGAGAGAGAGAGAGAGAGAGAGAGAGAGAGAGAGAGAGAGAGAGAGAGAGAGAGAGAGUUGUGAUUACAGAAUAAAACUCUUUGUUACGGGAGGUUUUGUUUUGUCACUCUCUCUUUUUCCCCACUCAAUUUUCCUGACAUCGACGCAUAAAUGAACAUAUCAUUUAAGAAAAUUCAGAAACUUAAACAAGGGAUUCUAUUUUACACAUUUACAUUACUUAUAUAGAGUACCGCCUUCUGUACCCUUUGUUUUUCAUCCUACAACUACACGAUAAAGCUUAAUAGUUAUACAGAUUAUAUCAAAUAAAAUAUUUUCAAACAGAUGGAAAUUAUUGAGGGUUUUUUCUUUGAUAAUCUUUGUUCUAGAAAUGAUCAAUCACAACUUGUCUUUUUCUAGUACUACUAACUGAUAAUGUCAAAAUGUGAAUCGUGUAUAAUAAAAAACGAGUCUAUUUAUUCAUUCAUGUACAGCUAUUUAUAUUUUAUCCAGGUAUUCUAUUUACUCCAUACAUAAUGAUUUAAGACGAAUAACUAAUUUAUUGUUUUCUAUGCAAACACAAGAAUUCAAAAACAAAAACAAAAUUAAAGACCUUUAGAAUUACCUAUUCCUUUUCUUGCAGUUUAUUCUAUUUCGUGUUUUUAAGUCUUAAAAUGAAACACAUUUAAAAAAAAAAUUAGCAUAAUAAUCAUGAAUAGAUAAAUAACCAAACUUUGGUAUACUCGUCUAUGUUAGAGGUGAAGUGAACACGAAGAAAUAAAUUCUAGAUGUUACAAUAAGUAUUUGAGGGUGGGGGAACAAGACAAAAUGACAAAAAAAAAUCUAUACAUUCCCUCCACAUAGAUAGGUAUAAUUAGAUAAACUUAUUUUCUUAGAAUUAAAAGAGUUUUGUCAUGAUUAUUAAUCCCCUUUAUAGGUACGAAAUGUUAACUAUUAAAUCAGUAAGGGACAGAAAUAUUUCAAAAUUAUACAUCAUAAUUCAUGUAGCAACGUCUAGAUAAUCCACUCUUUGUUAUCAAUGAGGGGAUAUUUAAGGUAUUUGUUUCAAAGUGCCUACUUUCAUUUCAGUUAGUGUUUAUACAUGUGCCGGUAUUAAUUAAUUCAUAAAUGAAAUUUUUAAAAAAAAAUCCUAACAGAUGAUCGAAGAAAGUGUGCUGUUGCAUAGUUUUUAAUACAGUGAUAAUUAUUUUUUAUUUUUUUUUAAAUUUAUAUUUUUUAGCAAAAUAAGAGGAAAAAAUCAUAUGGAAAACGUUUUCCUUUCAUAUUACUUAUUGUACCUUUCAACUCUAGCUUAAUUUUUUUUUUUUUUUUUUUUUUUAUAACUGUUUGUUUUAUUUGAUUUGUGGGUUUGAAUUUGAAAAAUGGAACAUACUUUGCUAUAAGUAUUCUUGGAAGAAAUUUCUAUUUGAAAGUGUACUUAAAAAAAAACACGCUGUUAAAAUAUUACUGUUAGAGUGUGAGAUUAUUGUAAUUCCAAUAACACGAGUAUUGUACAUAUUGUGUCUGUCCUGUUUUAUGGGACUUUGGGAGAAAGUGUUCUAAAUUUCAAAAACGAGUUCUUUUUUAAAUUCAGUUACAAUAAAAUGUGCUAAAACCAAUCAAGUUUUAAGGAGUAUGCCAAAUAUUUUCAAUGCAAAAUUCAAAAAAUAUGAUAUAUAUGCAUAUUGUGCAAAUAUUGUGAUUUAUACCAGUUAAAUAAUUUGAUAGAGAUAUCUACAAAACCUUUUCCCACAUAAAAUAUCGCAACACCCCCCUUCUUUGUAAUUUUUUACCCUGUUUGAAUAAUUCCAGAAUUCUAAAUUUUAAAAAACCCACAUUGUUUACAAGACAAAGAGGGACAGUAACAAUUAAUCCAUUUAGGGGAUCGAUUGGAACCCUUUACAAUUUUGAAGACAUAGAAAUUAUAUAUAUUGUAAGCAUUGAAAUGAGUCACUUUAUUUUAUUUCACUAAAACUUAGAAAACAAUUUCAAAAAGAAAAAACCUUCUUCUUUUCCCUUCUUAUCAUUUCACCUUAAUGGAAAUCCCAGACAGGGCGGGUCCCAAGAGCAAAGGUUCCCAACAAAUAAAAUGGCAAAUGUUUAGUCGGUUGCUAAUGGAUACGAAAUCUAUGCCAAAGGUUUGUAUUACUUGUGUAUAUUCUCUCAACUAUUUGACUAUAGAUAAAAAAAAACAAAAAAAAAAAAACCAUCAUUCAUAUGAUUUUAUUUUUGCCAAUUCGUUAGUUCAUUUAGAUUAUCAAUUAUGUUGACAACGUUUUGGUGUUCAUUACCUUUGUCAAUAAACUAUAUAGUAGUCGAUGUAAACAUCAUCAUGAUAUUGAUUGCCCUAGAAUUUAAAAAAUAAUAAUGAGCAUAUACAUACAUUUCAUCCUGUUGAGUUCAAGUUCAGAUUCAUACUUGAAUUUGUUUUAAUUACUAUGUCAAAUUGCAUGGAAUGAUUUUUAGGAUACUGAAAAAAAAAAUAUAUUAUACAAUUGAAAAUUCUAAGACACUGUGCACUAUAUGUAAUAAAAACAAUAUUCCUGAUGGUUUCAGAAUGUAAAAGAAAGUCUUGUAUUUUCUGUUAAACGGGUGGUGUUUUUUUUUUUAUAUAAAGCAACUAUUGGAAAAACUGUCCAUGGCCAAAUAUGUACUAUUAUAGUUCCAUUUUGUUUGACAAGCCUCGUGUUCUUUAAAUGGACCAUUGCUUCGUUUUAAGUCUCUUAAAACUAAACGAUAGGGGAAACAAUUGAAGUUGAAUUAUAUAAACCAGUGCUGUUGCUCAGAUUUUUGUUUUUUGUUUUUGAAAAUUCAAAUAGGUGGUAUUACGGAGUUUAAGUGUAAGUAACGAUGCAAUUUAGAUGAUUAUAGUUUAGAGAUGUUUAUUGUGCUUUAAUUCAGCGAUUUUCCUCAUUUUUAAAAUAAAUAGAAAAGUGAAUGCUACAUGCAUAUAUACACACACAAGACUGAUUUUUUUUACCCUGUCAAUAACGGGCAACAGUGUUCAACAAUGUCCGUUAAACAAAGCCUACUAUUAAAUUUUUUAUAUCGGAACUGAUCGUACGAUCGUUAUUACAAUUUUUUAAUCACAUUUAUAAAACGUUUGUUGAAUUGGUGGUACUAGUAGUUAUCUCUUUCUUUUUAAAAAAAAAAAAAAAAAAAAUCCAAUGAAAUAUUUUUCUAGGAGUACGCCUAUUUAUUGCGCUAGUUUUAACCAAUCAUCUUAUCGCUUACUUCUGUAAACCGUGCCUCUCUUUAUGUCGUCAGCAGUUGCAGUAGGGAGAAUUAGGAACUCGUCUGCCCUACUGAGGGAAGGUCAAUCUAUGGAUUCUUGGCGUUUUGAAUAAUCAUGCGAGUUAUGUUUCGUGAUUUUUUAAAAGUCUUAUAAAUUGUGUGGAUAUAGUAUCAUUAAUUUUAUGGAUCCAUCUGGUGGAGAAAAAAAAAACCUGUCCAAAACGUUCAAGGUUACACUCCCAUCAUUUCUUUGGUAUGCUGAAGCUUGGCAGGCCAUACCGCCCUCACCAAUAGGGCAUUUCAGGUCGACGUGCUAGAGCGGGUUAACACAGACUGAUGUUCGCGGUGACCAGGUCAUUUGAGAUCACUUGAGAUGGGAAGCAAUUUCUGAUGGCAAACUUGUCUGAUGUACGCAUGAAAAUCUCAAAAUCUGAAGUUUUACAUAGGACUAUAUAUAGGAUACAGACAACAUAGGUAAGGCUUAAAAUCACAACUGCUGUUACAGAAAGUAUUCAUCUCAAGAACCACAAUGGCACAAUUUGUCAUAGAUCUUAUCAUCAGGUAGUUUAGAAACUAUGGGGCCGCAAUUUGGUUUUUGAAGUGUUGCACUAUAGAUAUCUUUAAAGGCUUCACCAAGGGGACUCGGGUGAGUGUUGUGGCCCAUGAAAAAAAAAAGGCAUUUGAAAUUGCUAAGUUUACUUUGCUGAUUAAAUUUCUUAUAUUCCUCUGAGAGAAUAACUAAUCUCGCAAUGACAUACAUGUUAUACAAGUAGAAGUGCAUGAUGUCAUGGAAUAAUCAGGGCAAACAAACAAACAAACAAUAAGCCUACAUUGACAUCAUUAUCAGUCCUGAAUGAGAGUAAAAAAGGCUUCUUGUAGCAACUUAUUGAUGGAUCAAUACUCCAGCGAAUGGGGCUGCUGCUUGAGAAAAAGAGAUAUGUUACUUCUAAUUAGGUCAUCCUAACAAAGUAGUAGGAAGGAAUAUUACUCUCCACAAUGUGCCUUGCAUUGAGCAGUUCAUUCUGCUUAGUGCAGAUCAAUAAGAAUCAUAGGUCUUUUGCAGUAUCGGCAAGAUGUCACCAUUCCAAACCAGGGUUCAUGGAUAGAUCAGGCAAAUACCUUCUUUCUUGUUUCAUGAUAUGACUGCAUAUUGUUUUACAACUUAAAAUAAUGUAUAUAGAUGAUGCAUGUUCCUUGUUCACUGGUAUUUAUAAUACUAGUAAGCAGAGGAAUUUGUCAUUGAGUACAAAUAAAAAUGGUUCUUUAUGAUGUGAUUGCAAUUUGAUUCACACACAUGUAUUAUAAUACCACUGAAACCUCAACCACUCAGAUACCAGGAUAUGUUAACUAUUAUUAUGUAUACCCUCCACCCCUUUUUAUUUUCACCAAAGAAUACCCCAGCAAUGAUGGGUGGAGGGAUGUGACUUCACAUUCAGACUUUUGUUUGUGAUCAAACUAUAGUUCUAGGAUUUUGUGUAAGGAAUUCAGUCAUCUUUUAACCUAGAUACAUGGGAGCACAUCAUAAUUUGCAUAAGCAGGAUCCAAUUUUAAUUUGGUCUAUCAUAUUUCCCCCCAUCCUGUUACAUUUAGCUUUAUGUCCCUCUCCUAUUCUCAGAAUUGGAAUAUGGGGUCCCUAGUUUAAAUCCCAAUUAAUGUUUUUCAGCACUCUAUAAUACCUUAAAACUAGGAAUAGCAGUCAAAUAUAGAAUUGUUAAUCUGCAAACUGCAACUCAUUCCAACCAAAUUACUGGUUAAUCAAGUCAAAAUACACAUUUUUGUGAUAAAUUGAUUGGUUUUAUUAUCUCAAAUAAGCUCUAUUCAUAUGUACACAAAUAGAUUAAAGAAAACGUCAUUGAUUAGUCUUUGAUGAAUGACAAAAGUCCAAUGCUCAGGGCCAGGUAAAGUUGGAACCGGGCAUGUGAAACUUGCACACUUACAAACCUAAGAGGCAUCUAAAAUUUUGAGGAUAUAUGUUUAUUUCAGAUGCCAUUUUUUAUUCAAAUUAUUAAUUUAUACAACAGAUUGACACAUUACAAUGAAUAACCCUUCGUACAACUUAUAAACAACCCCAUUUAAUUAAUUUGGUCAUUCAAAUGUUAUUUACAAUUGUAGCUGUCGGACGGGUUCAGUCGUUGGUGACCUGACAUCUCAGUUGGUCAAGCACCUGACUAGAGAGUCUUGGGGUCCAGGUUCGAAUCCCAAUCUGUUCUGUUGCAUUUUCUCCCUUCCUGUUACAUUUGGUGCCUUAGACCAGCCCCUAGAACUGACAGGUGAAAAUGCCUGCCAGGGGAUAAAGAUCCUGGGUUGAUGUAUUCAAGGUACGAAGAUAUUUAAGGAGGGAGGAAUGUGGCAGUCAGCCAGGUUCGAUUGCUGGUAGCCAGAUAGCUCAGUAGAGUACCAAUUCAGGAAUCUGGGGUUUUUGUUUCCCAGUCUGGUCUGUUGUAUUUUCUCCCUUCCUGUUACAAAAUGUUCAUUUAUUGCAAGUAAGUGUGUAUAUAUGGUAGUGCCUUUCUUGCAUUGAUUGUGUCAUAAUUAUUCGCAGAUGGGGGGGGGGGGGGGGGGGGGGGGGGGGGGGGGGGGGGGGCUUCAUCAGAUAGGAAACGCCAACAAAGAGAAAACUUAGUGUUACCUUGGUAUAUUGCCACCCCGCAUACCACCAUCGAAAUGUAUAGAACGGAUUUCCACACAUGCUAAAAGCGCCGAUAUAAAGCCAACCUCGCUUAUCACCAUCGACCACCGGUUUUCAAGUACAAAAGGUCAAAUUGCCUUUCUAAAUGCCAAUGUUCGUUUGCACACUAUCCAAAUCUCUGUUCGAUGAUACUUGCUAUCAACUGCUGUAAAGUUUGUGUACCAUGUGACUUUUCCAGGAAAAAGCUGCAGCCAUUACAUGUGUGUUUGUCAAUCACUCAACCUAUUCAGUCACCGUAGAACCUACCAUGCCACAAAUGAAACUAUUGUAGACAUAUACUUUAUAAGUGUUUUGCAAAUGCACAAGCACAGACUAUGCAUAUUUUAGCGAAGUUUUAGGAGGUAGAGCAACACAAUUCCAUGCAUUUACGUAUCGUGUCAUAUGUUGACGGCAAUAAAAGGACGAUACUAUAUUAAUUGAUCAACCCCAUAUUUUUUUUCCAAAUUGAGGAACUAGAAUUACUUAACUCGUUAUAAUGCCACCCUCGAUAUAACGCCAAAAUAGGCUGGGACAAAAGCUGGCGAUAUAAUGAGGUAACACUGUACACCAAUGCACAUAUAUAUAUAUAUAUCAGAAAAUUUGGGAGAAUGACUUGCCGUGGGUAAACAGGGUUGGACACCAACGCUAGUCCGGUAACCCGAGGCUAGUAAAAUUUUGUCCUCGACUAUCUGAACAUCAUAAGUUCUCUGGUGGACUACUGAAAAAUUAAAACCCUAUGCGAUAAAAUAAUCAUUGAAGUUCUUUUCUACUUUCAUGCAAACUUUCUUUCUACUUCCAUUUCUGUUAUAUUUCAUUGUAAAUUAUACAAUGGAGUAAUCUCUAAUUGGAAUGUAACCACAUUACUACUGUGCUUAGAACUAUUUAUGGUACAUGAUACCACGAGUUAAGCAUAUGGUGGUUUGAUGUGAGAAUCGGUGAAAACGGAAACUAAAUUUGGUCAUCAAAUUUUCAUUUAUUUGUCUCAAAAUUUGCUUUAAAAUGUACAAUUUUGCAUCAUUUUGAAAAGAAGCCCCUCCCCCUGUGUGUGCACAGUCUCCCCCCUCUUUGUUUCACGUCUAUGCCAUCUGCCUUCGGCAGCUGAAGUAGUAAAUGAUAGAAUCUACUAGUCCUUUUGGCUAGUAUAGUGAAAAACUCUGUGUCAAAUAUCGGUAAAAGAAAGUGACAGGAAAAAGCAAAGCUUUUGGUACCUUGUGUAAUGCAUACUUAUCUAAAGUGUCUGGAGCUAAAAAUGAUUCGACAAAACCUGCAAAUCAUGAAAAUAAUUAAUGCUUCUGCAUGGAAGUCUUCAAAGUUACUGUUGUCUUUUAACAUCCUCAUCAGAUCUCAAAAGCAAAGUUACUGUUGUCUUUUAACAUCCUCAUCAGAUCUCAAAAGCAAAGUUACUGGAGCAGAAACUGUUUGGUCUAAUUUUCUAGAACACAACCAAUCUGACUCGAGGGCAUAUAGUGUUUUUGUGUAAAACAUUUAAAUAACACCUUUUUUAAUGCUGUUGAUACUGAAUUGAAACUAAAUGGAUAUUUACAAGGAGCAGGUAGCUCUUUACCAAAAUUGUAAAUUUCAUUAUCCCAAGGUUAAGGGUUUUGGUAUCAGGGUGGGGCCAAAAUGGUUAUAGUGAUUAAAUGUCAUCAUCAUUUAAAGACUUUAAUUUUGGUGAUAUAUAAAAAGUAAAUGAAUAUUUAGGAAAAGCAGAGAAGGAUGUACCAAAAUUAUAAAUUUUGCAACCCCAGGAUUCUGACAUACUCUAGGGCAGAUCCAAAAUUGUCACAUAGUGUUAAUGUAAUAUCAUAUAUUAUGUAAAGUCUUUCAUCAGUAUGGGCAUUUUGGGGGGCAUUUAUUCAUGUUUGAAGAACUCAUUUUGUUUUAUACUGCUGCUAUAUAUUAGAAUUUAGCUUAGAUAUGCAGAACAGGAAAAUUAUAGAUUCGGGACUAGUGAUACUUUUAACUAAGGCCAAUUCAACCUAAUUGAUAGAUUAUCAUCCCCGCCCGCCCCUCAAAAAUUGGCCCGCCCCAAAUUUUUUUAUUUAGCAAAAUUUGCGACUUCCGGAAUAUUUUCAUGUCCGACUCCGGUAUUUACACUUCUUGUUUACAUUUCCGGUAUAAGAAUGUGAAGAGCCACAUGAAGAAAAUAGAUUUAUAUGGUUUUCUUAAUUUCUCGCAUUCUUACAGACAUAAAUCUUGAAGAAGUUAGGUAUAUUUCUGUUAUAUCCUUAAAUUAAAGCUUAACCUGGAAUUAAAUGUAUGAAAAUAGCAUAGAUUGAUAUCCAUCUGCCAUUAAAUGAUGCCGAUCUGUUGGGGAAAAAAACCCGUUUGUCUUUAACAUUUUUCUCAAAAUAUAAAAAUUAAAAAAUAAAAUCCUCCCACCUGCCCCCUACUUUUUGCUGACCCUGGAUGAUAAUCUACUAAUUAAGUUGAAUUGGCCUAAUACUCAGGUUAUCGAUAGUGCCUGGGAGCCUUUGUUAUUUUGAUGCGCUAGUAACACAACAACUGAAAAGCAACAUCAAAAUAACAGGUGUCUGUGUGCACAUAUAUGAAUUGUCAUACUUAUUACUCCCCUUCUGGUAAAACCAAAAGGGACUACAGGUUUCUUCUUUAUCUGUCAGUCAGUCUGUCCCACUUGGUUUUCUACACUUUUUAGGUCACCUGAGUAAACUCAGGUGACCUAUUGCCAUCGGUCUUCGUCCGUCGUCAUGUGCGUCUGUUAACAAUUUUACAUUUUUAACUUCUUUUUGAAAACUACAAGGCCAAUCAUUACCAUUUUUGGUUUGAAGCAUCUCUAAGAGAAGAGGAAUAUAAAUUGUAAAAUUUAUGACAAUACCUCCCCCAGGGCCUCCUGGGUGGGGCAAAAUAUGCAAAAAUAAAAGUCAAAUUUUCAAAAAUCUUCUUCUCUAUUCCCACACACAUGGGAGAAAAACUGAAUGCAUGGUUAUGAUGUCCAUGAAACCCUCUACUAAAAUUGUGAAAUUCAUGGCCCUUGGGUGAGGGGUUUAGGUCCUAGGGCGGGACCAGUAUGACCAUAUAGUGAACAUGUAUUAAAUCUUCGAAAAUCUUCUUCUCUACUCCCAUAUAUAUUUGAGAAAAACUAAAUGCAUGCUUAUGAUGUCCAUGAAGUUCUCUACCUGAAUUGUGAAAUUCAUGGCUCCUGGGUCGGGGGUUCAGGCCCUUGGACAGGGCCAAUAUGGCCACAUAAUGAAAAUGUAUUUUAAAAAAUCAGGGAAUGUUAGCUUCAUACUUACAUUUUUUCCUUCUUCUGUAAUUGAAUAGGAAUUAGAUGUAUUUUGAAAGAUAUCAAAAAUAUGUGCACAAAAGACUCCAUAUUGAGGCUUUAUGCAAAUAUAAGACUAUGUAUGGGAUAUGGUACUCAGGUGACUGUUAAGGCCAGUGGGCCUCUUGUUUAAUAUGAUAAUAGCAAUUUCUAUGGCAUGCAAUAACUUGAGACUACAUGAGAAGAUCUUCAUAUAAUUUAAAGGUAAUUCUCAAAUUAAGAAGAGGAGGACCUCUUUCGAUUUUCAGAUUUAUCAAUUUCGUCGUUAUGGAGUUAUCGGACUUUUUUUAAAAAAUUUAAAUAUUAAGGCGGUACUCUACAUCAUCAUAACGGCCGACUUCCUUUAAGUUUUAAACAUAUUUGACUAUUCAUCUAAAAAAUUAUCACAUAGCUGAGUAGCUCAGUAGGUUAGCAUGUCGACUGAUGAACUGUAGAUCACGGUUUCUAGUCCAGCAGGGGUUUUAAGUUUUUUUCAGAUUGCUUUCUACUAAAAUUGCAUUUUUUGACUAAAUAAAGUAAAUUUGAAAGUUUUCAAUUUCAAAAUAUUGUCGUAUAUAUCCUCCACUUUUCAUCCAUAUCAUAUUUCUCUGGUGUAGCAUACCUCCUAAGUACAAGACAGCUCUUUCUAUGGUGUAUGGUAUCUUUGACGCCAGAAAAAAAAUAAGGUUGAAUGUGUACGUCCAGCCAUGCUGAUCAACUACCCGACCAGAUACGUACUGAAGUGGUGAAGCACCUGAUGGAGUAUUCAUUGCAGGGCCUUUCUGACUUGUCAAUUUUCUAGUUUCCACUUUUACACUCUUUUGAUUAUACCCCAAGCAACGAGUUGUGGAGGGUAUAAUGUUUAUGACCCAUCCAUCAGUCAGCUUGUCAGUCAGUCAAGGACAACAAUUGCCAUUUGUAGAUGUGCAUAUUGUCGGAACAGGAGGAUCCGAUUAUUUUUCUAAAAGUUAUAGUGGAUCUGAGAGGGGUGGAGAAUGUUAAAAUAGCUUGUGAAUGCUUAUCCUCCUAUAUGGCUUAUCUGAUAGACUUGAAAUUUUGUACGAUACUUCAAUGCCAUUUACAGAUGUGCACUUUGCACGGACAGGAGGAUUCAAUUGUUGUCCUUGAAGUUAUAGUUAAUCUGAGGGGUGGAGGGUGUAAAUUAGUUUGUAAACACUUCUCCAGUGUGGCUUAUGGGAGUUCUUGUCGGCACAAUUCCUCUGAAACCGCUCAACAGAAUUUAAUGAAACUAGUUAAUAAGAACAUACUGUGUAAGAUGUUCACACUUGCAGGAAAUUCUGAUUCUUUUUUUUUUUUUUUUUUUCUUUUCUUCUUCUGGGGGUUAUGACCCUUUUAAACUUUGGCUAAAAUUAAAAAUAUAUUACUGAAACAGUUUGUUAGCACAACUCCUCUGAAACCACUGAACAGAAUUUUCCUUAAUUUUGUAUUUAAUAUGGACAUACUGUUCACAGGAAAUUCUUCUGGGGGUUAUGCCCCUUUUGAAUAUGGAAGUUUGGACAAAAUAUAUGAUUUCGUACUCCUCUGAAACCACUGAACAGAAUUUCAUAUAACUUUGCGUUUAAGUCUCACCUCUUCCUGGAAGGUAUUGUUUUUGUACUUCCAGUUUCAAUAUCUGUCCCAUCUAUCUGUCUUUAACAAAAUCUUGUGAACACUUCUCCUGUAUGGCUUAUCCGAUGGACAAUGCUUCGACAUUGCCAUUUGUAGAUGUGCAUAUUGUUGGGACAUGAGAAUUCAAUUAUUUUCCUAAAAGUUAUAGUGGAUCUAAGAGGGGUGGAGGAUGUAAAAUAUCUUGUGAACACUUCUUCUAUAUGGCUUAUCUGAUAGACUAAAUUGAAACUUUGUACAAUGCUUCAUUGGCAUUUAUAGAUGUGCAUAUUGUCAGGACGUGAGGAUUCAAUUACUUUCUCAAAAGUUAUUAUUAUAGGGCUUCAAGAGGGGUGGAGGGUGUAAAAUAUCUUAAUUGUGAACACUUCUCAUCCUAUAUGGCUUAUACAAUAGCCUUGACAUUUUGUAUAAUACUUCAUUAUCAUUUGAUGAUGUUCACACUCCGGAAUCUAAUAAUGUCUCCCCUAUUUCUGACAGGGGGAGACAUAUUGUUUUUGUACUUUCUGUCCGUCCAUCUGUCUGUCACAAAAUCUUGUGAACGCUUCUCCUCCUAUAUGGCUUAUCGGAUAGACUUGAAACUUUGUACAAUGCUUCAUUGCCAUUUGUAGAUGUGCAUAUUGUCGAAACAGGAGGAUCCGAUUAUUUUUCUAAAAGUUAUAGUGGAUCUAAGAGGGGUGGAGGAUGUUAAAAUAGCUUGUGAAUGCUUAUCCUCCUAUAUGGCUUAUCUGAUAGACUUGAAAUUUUGUACGAUACUUCAAUGCCAUUUGCAGAUGUGCACUUUGCAGGGACAGGGACAGGAGGAUUCAAUUGUUGUCCUUGAAGUUAUAGUUAAUCUGAGGGGUGGAGGGUGUAAAUUAGUUUGUAAACACUUCUCCAAUGUGGCUUAUGGGAGUUCACAUUGUCUAUGUUCCUGCUCAUGCUUUCUCCUCCAUACCACGCAGAGGAGGUUUCAUUUAGAGCACUUCCAAUUUGGGGAGCUGGGGAGACAUUGGUUUUUCAUAAAAAACAAUCUCUAGUAUUUUCCUACAAUUUACAGUGGAUCAAAGAGGAGUGUUUAAUAGGUUUUUUGUUGUGUUUUUUUCAUGUGCAAAGGUAUGUUCACUUUCCUACUGGUACUCAAGCAUAACAGUCAUUACUUUUGUAUCAUAUACAAUAUGGACAUUGGUCACAUCAAUGUUGAAUCUUUUCUCCAUCCUUUUCCUCAAAGCACAAAUGCAGUUCAUAGUGUCUAUGUUCUUGCUCAUGCUUUAAAUUCUCUUCCAUAGCACACAACUAGAGGAAGGGGGUUGGUUUGUAAUUUUGAGCUCUAUCAAUUUGGGGAGCUGGGGAAACAUAUGUUUUGAACAAAAAUAAAUUAUAAAUAUAAUAUGGACAUACUGUGUAGGUGUGUGCAUUCACAGGAAAUUAUUUGAUUUUUUGGGGGAGUUAUGCCCCUUUUUAACAUAGAAAUUUGGCCAAAAUGUACUAUUUGUACAACUUGCAUGGAACUGGUUUUCAAGCCAUAUGUAAUUAAAAUAUUUCUGUAUUAAUAUUUUACACAAUUUACAUUUCUAAAUAAUUUUAUAUAUUACUUGAAUAGUUGAGUAGUGGCAUCUAGUUAUGUGCAUGAAAUAUACAGUAUAGCAAAGAGGCGGAAGAAUUUGUUGUACCUUAUGCAUAGCAUUGCCAUGGUGGAGGCGUGGGAUAUGUGAGCUUGCAUGCUCACUUUUUCUUUCAUGUGAAAAAGUCGAUAUUAACUCAGUCAAGUAUGUCUGAUGUGAAGCAGCCAAUAGAUAUAUUCAUAUGCCAUGAUGUUCAAUCUAUGAAUUCCGUAUUGAUCAAGAAGAUUAAAUGAUAUACUGCAGAUACAAUUUAACACUACACAUAUUGCAGAUACGAUGUGCAAAAAUUGGCAAUGCAAUGUUAUUUAACCGACACAUCAUCACAUACAUAAGGUAACCACUAAUUAGGGAAGUGUUGACAGGACACAGGUAAUCAUUUCAAUCAGACAGUGCGGCUUUAUGUUUCUUUACAAAUUACAUCUUUGCUAAAAUGACCGAAGACUGACCUUCCCAAAAAUUGCCGCCUGGGUUCAGUUUUCAAUGCAUUUUAACAUUUUGUAAAAUCUGAUUAUCCGGAAUGCGCUUUUCCAGUUUAAUGAUGCAAAAUAACAUGCAAAAAUUUGGUUCUCCCAAAAAAGCAUCCGGAAGGUGAAGCAUCUGGAUUAAUGAUCUGCAGAUUGCUGUGACUCAACUCUACUGUAUAAAUCUAAAAGGAUUGACUUUAAUAAGAGUUUUGUCCUUUCAGGUGAAGAUCCCAAUGGAUCUAUUCCAUGUUAUAUAAAUAAGUGAGUUUUUGGUUUUAAAACUGAAGGUCCUUAAAUUGUGAAAUGAAUAGCAAGUACUUUCAGUUUGUUUCAACAAAUUUGUUCAACCAUCCUUUGACUAGAAAAAAUAUCCAAAAAUUAAAAGCAAAAUAUUUUGUUACGGUUGGGAACUGCUGCUCAGGUGAGCAGUGUGGCCCAUGGGUCUCAUCACCAGGUGUUUUCCUCUACAGAAUUUGUAGUUUCUGAUGGUGGUCAUGGUGGGUGGUUUUUUUUCUUGGUCUUUGAGGACAUUGUUUCUUGUGUUGCCAGGUUUCUGAUGGUGGUCCUGGGGUUGGUUUUCUCUCUUUCUUGGUCUUUGAGGACAUUGUUUCUUGUGUUCUGAUGGUGGUCCUGGGGUUGGUUUCUCUCUUUCUUGAUCUUUGAGGACAUUGUUUCUUGUGUUCUGAUGGUGGUCCUGGGGUUGGUUUUCUCUCUUUCUUGGUCUUUGAGGACAUUGUUUCUUGUGUUCUGAUGGUGGUCCUGGGGUUGGUUUUCUCUCUUUCUUGGUCUUUGAGGAUAUCGUUUCUUUUGUGACCAGGUUUUGAUUUAGUGGAUCUGACUUUUCCUUUAGUUCCUGUGCCUGUGUAUUUGCUGUUCAUAGGAUUGGCAGAUUUUUAUUACUUAAUUUGACAGUCAUCUAUAUAAUGGGCUUUGGAUUUAAGGGACUAAAUUUAGAGCUUUUAAGUCAAUUAAUUGUGACUAAUUAAUUGUGACUGCAAGAGCAAGGUGGCUCAGGUGAGUGUUAAUGCCCAAGGACCUAUGUUAAUAUUCAUUCCUUUUAAAAAGGAUUUGUUACAAUGUCAUUAAGUGUAGCAAGAGAUUUAUUAAAUGGAAAGGCACAGGUUUUUAUCACACGGGCACCACGCAUAAUAGACAGAUAUAUAUAAAACAAACAAUAACACCAUUGUUCUCUCACUUUGCCUGUGCAAAGUAAUGUGUCAUUGUGAAGAUUCCUGCAUUGUGUAGAUAGGAACUUUUAUUGCAAUAUUUGGUAGUGUGAAUUUUUUUGGAGGAACAUUGAUUAUAAUGCUCUAGAGCAAGUUAAUCACCUUGCACUAAACGAAAGUUCAGUGGACUGGACCAGCUGUUUAAAACUAGACAAAAUUAGACAAUUUGUGUAUGGUGACAUGUGUUUAAAUGUCAGCAUGCUUUUUAUUUAUCAGAUAAUUUAUGCAUAACAGUGCCCAGCACAGGCAUUUUGUAUAUAGGGGAGCAGUAUAUGAAUUCAUGACAUUACUUGCUGUUAAAAGGUUAUUGAGCAGGAUGUGUUUGAAUUUAGUAGUCAAGUUAACCAGGGAGUUUGUAUGUGUAGUUUCAUAAUUAAUAAACGAAGUAAAAACUAUGAAUAUGUAAAGGAUAAGGUCAGGUGUGAAUUUCUCUUAGGAUAUAUUGUUUUAAUCCUUCCCUCUUGCAAGUAAGCUCUAGGGUAUAGAGAAUUCACGUCCUUUUGUCUUUCAAUCUACUCCCAUUUUCUAUCUGGGCCAUACCUUCAUACUUUAUUGAAAGGUUACCUAAAAACACAUUUUGAAAAGGCUUUAAGACCAUUGGGAUUAGAAAUAACAAGUUCUUAUCUUGGUUACAAACGUGAGUAGUCACAACGAUUGCUUAGUCUGGCUCUAACAUCCAUAAAAUAUUAAUCUAAAUUUGAAUGUACAAGUCUAUACUGUACAUCACGUUUUAUCACUGUAAACUCCAGUGUAGUCGCAUGGUCAGAAAUAAAUGAAGAAUUACAAAACUUAGUCAUUCAAGUACACGGUAUGAAGACAUGGAUCAGUGAGAGAUUAAUUAGAUGAUGGGUUCAGAUGUUACAUACAAGUAAUUACUGAACUACAAGUUCACCCCAACAUUCCUGGCCUAGCUAAGAAAUCAGAUGGUACAGUACGGCACUGUUCACUGCACGAACCUUUAUCAACAUACAAAUUCAAACACAUACUUUUUUGAAAAUCCUGUUUAAUACAUCACAAUAUUUGACAUGUUAAGAAUGACUAAAUCAUGAGGUGAGUUACCUGGGUUGUUGGCAGUCUAUGUUGACCUGGAAAUAAAAUGUAUCCCAUGAUUAACAAAGAAACUCCAAAUAAAAUAUAUCCACUACUAAAACUCUCACACUUUUUAGAAUAUGAUUUCAAAUUUAAAGUUUCGCGCCACGUGAGAUUGCGCCAAAAUAACGGAACUCCUCUACUAGUAGGUUCAAAUGUCUGUGACGUACACACAGAGCACAUAUACAUAAGAACUGAACUUCCUUUUGUGUCUCUUCUCGGAGGAAAGAAUUGUAUCACUGUUCUGGAUAUUAAAUAUAUCUCUUGCAAGGUAAUCAGCUUUUUAUAGCUUUCAUGACUAACAUCACCCAUAUUGUAGACAGGUUUACAGGGUGUAAUGGAGAAAAUCAGCCAUAUUGAAUAAAUUUGUAUAAAACUUGCAGUAUAGACACAUGUUAUACAGAAUUAGAUUGUGGCAGUCUGACCUUGUUUAAACUGAUAUGGUGGGUGUGCUUUUAGCUAUUUGACGAUAACCAAUCAAAUUUAGAGAAGCUUUAAAAGCUUUAUAUUAUAUGUUUCCUAGUUUAAAUGUCUUGCUGAGCUAAAAAUUUGUUUCUCCUAGACUUGAAGGCAUUUAAUUCUCAGUAUUACAAAGAAUUUUUUUAUCUUUAGUGAAUACUUAGUUUCACCCUCUCUUUUCUAUCUUCAGAGGGAGAAAAAAGAAAGGGAAGAUGCACUUUCUCAUACAGAAUAUUCUUGAAAAAGUGAAUAUUUGAAUAUUUAAACAGUAUUUGAUCAGUGCCAUUGGAAACCAUCAAGAAAUUAUUUCUUGAAAGGUCUUAGCAGGAUUAUAUGCUGCCUAAGCCCCUCCUCCUAUUUUGAAUACAUCCCAGACAGGACUAUUAACAAACAACAGUGACAUCAGUAUUCAUUGUGACCCUGUGUAGCAUACACCAAGUGGCCCACUUGUUUUCAGACAGUCAGCUAGUAUUUGAAUUCUCUUGUCUAGGACAACAUGAGUAACUUCCCUUUGGAUACGCCAUUAAUCUGAAACACAAGACUGGUAGCAUUAAUUAUUUGAAGGAAUGGUAAAUUUUCUGUUAAUUACAAGGUCAGGUGGUAGUGUUUGUUACUGUUCUGAAGUGGAUGAUAAUAGAGGUAAUGAUUUUAGGAGAAAAAUGUGCUCAUUUCUGUUAAAAAUUGAGAAAAAGAUCAUUUUAGUGUAGAUCAUGACUGGUGGUGAUAAAAACGUGCUUUUGCUUUGUAUGGCAUCUCGUACAGUAGAGUGGUUGCGGGGUAAUCCAUUGUGUUUCUUCAGUAUGGGCGAAGUCUUCAUCCAAGAUUUUAGAGGUAAAAAUGCUUAGAAUAAAUAAAAUGGAAUAGUAUCUACAGGGAAUAAGUAAUUCUGGACACUAGGCAUGGUAACAUGUGCACAUUUGAAUUUUCAAAAUGGCGUGACUUAACUUCUGUGACAUAUUCUUCCUGUAAGAUUUUACGAAUGAACUGGAAUUGGAACAAUUGGAUUUAAAAGUAUAUUGAAAACUUAAAAUCUCUUCCAUGAUACAAAAAAAUGGACAAAUUUUUGUGAUAAAGAGAUAUUUUCUAUGCAACGCAUGCGCAUCAAGAAGUUAAGAGAGAAUUUUCGUGAAUUGUGUGCAUGGCAUCUAUAAAUGAAGACAUCCGUUUCCGAAAAGCGCCAUUUUUGUGAAUCUGAGGUGGGGUUCUACCUUUGCUUUUCCAGCGCUUAUAUACUAGACCAUUCACAGUGAGUUGUGAUUGCGGGGCGUGACGUACUAGACCGCCAUUUUUUGCCACUCUGUGUUUCUGUAGACCAUACAUACUGGUGCUCAUUGAGUAGUCUUGUGAAUGUGCGGCUUGUUUGAACAGUAAAGGAUGUGAAGCAUGGUUUGAACAGCCUACUCUAGUGCAUGUUCAUUGUGUCUGGAUGUAAAGUAACAACCUACCUUCAGUUAACUGCUGGACAUUUUCUACUGAGACACUGCUUUGUAGGUCAGACAAGCAUUUGUUAGUCGUUGGAGUUCAAGGUUGAUUAAGACAGCUUUAAAUAGACCGUCUGGAAUGGACAUUGUUGAUUAUCUACAAAAAACAAAAGGCAGAUAAAUUUAUCUACUCACCCAGAAGUUGAAUUAUGAAUAACCACUUUAGUAGUUAUACAAAUUGGACAUGCAUUCAAUGCAUAAAUGACAACUACACUUACUGCUGACGAAUUUUUAUGAUAAAAACUUUUAUUUCAACUUUAUUUCAAUGUGACUCUGGAGGGCGUCAGUGCAUAAAAUGUGCACAAGUUGCACUUUAAGUAUAAAAGAGACCUGGAUAAUUCAUUAUUUAAAUUUAAAGUAGCUGCCAUAAAGCACAUAAGGGAGAUGUGUUUGGAGUGAAUAAGGUCAGUUAUAGUUUUCAAAAUUUCAGUGCAUAUUCUUCCCGCCUGAAGUCUACCUUGUGUGUUGUAUGUGGGUCGCCAUGUUGGAUGCAGUGAAAGUCAGGGUCUGGUUGUCUUCUACAGUAGUAUCGCAGGAUUUUACCACCUGAUUGAUGAUUGAUUGGAUUAAGUAAACACAUUUCUUCAAAGAAGACAAUUGCAGACUUUUUCCCAACCUAAAGCUUAUGUCAUUUGCUUCUUUGGGGUCUACAAGAUUAAACAAGGGACAGGCGCAUGCGCUGACGAUGGUCUGGUCGGCAUGGUUCUCCGUGGCUGUAGAUAAGUACCAUUUCUUACAUGGACACAGCAGAGGCAUUUCAGAUCAGUGAGCCUUAUAAUGUCUACCAAUUUGGCAAAGAGCAGUUCCAAGGGAAAUUAAGGAGACACUGCCUUGGGGAAAUGGGACUCCAAGCUUUUUUCUGAAGUAAAGGAUCACAACCUCUUUCAAGGCGAGAUUGACAUACGGACCCCCAAAGUAUUGUCACUGUUUACCAAACCCAGUAUACAGAUGUCAGGAUUACAUUUAUACACCUCCUAUGAAGUCCUUGGAGGUUUUUUCAUUUGGAGAAUUAAACCGGUAAGUUUAAACUUUUUAAGAUCCUUCUAGAAUGGUCUUUCCUGUUUUGAACAGAAACUAUAAGUUUCUUUAUUAUUUAGUAUCAGAAUUGAUGGGUGUAUUAAAAUUAAUUUAAAUGAGGUUUUUUUUUUUUUUUUUACAAUAUUAUUUUUCAAGCACAUUUUGAACAAUUAGUAAUGUCAAGUAGUUUCCACACGAUACUGCACAAUGCUCCUAAUUAUUUUGGGAGUGCAAGUAUAUCACCUUAAACCACUAGAAAAUGUCUGAAAAGAAGAACAUCUCGAGUUUACCUCAAUCUUUUCAAAUGCCCGCUUUACCCAGGAUGCUAUGUGAUCUGAAUUUAAAUUCUGGUUUGCGUGACCUUGAUGAACCGGCAAAGUAAUAAGUGCUCUCACAUGUUUUACAAAUCCUAUCACUACUGACUACAUAUACAUGUGAAUACACAAAUUGGAUGGAUGCUGUCUAAUUGUCAGAAGGUUCAUUAAUGAUAUUUGAGCAUGUGUUGGGAGAAAAUAUCACACGUUUAGGGUGUGUGAGACAGAUUGUUUCAUUGAAACAGGGAAUUGAACAUGUGCAGUGGUUCCAUUUAAUUGUGGAUUAAGGUGGCUGUAUGCUACAGAGUGAAUUUUGUACCCUCCCAACAUUUAUGAAUUCUGGAUUAAUUCGUGUGGAAUGUUUUAUUGGGCAUUACAAGGAACGUUGGAUUUUGUAUAUGUGAGUCAAGUGUACAUGUGAACUUCCUCAAACAGUAGACAUGUGCUGUGGAAUAUAGGCAUGUUUUUUGAUUUUGGGGUUAUUCAUAUCAACUAAUUGUAAGUAUUUCAGAUUUCUCUCAAAAAUACUUAUUGGUUUAUCUAAGAAGAAAAAACACGCUGGUUUGUGUGUUAUUACCGUCGGAUGUCUCAGCAGAAAAAUAUCCGUAGGACAAGGACAGGUUUUAAAUAUGCCUGACGCCAUGUUCAGAAAAGUGUGUACUGAUAUGUGGGGAAUUGAUUGUAUGAGGAUUUAGUUGUGUUGGAUACUACAACAAAGACAUGAGGCCCAAAUCAUGCACAUGUGGAUUUUAUUUAGUGAUGAAGUGGGGAAUGAAAUGAUGUGGUGAAAUUUGAUCUUAUUUCACCUAAACUGACCCCCCCUGUCUGCCUCCUCAGACAUUCUCCAUAAAAUUGGAGACCUGACCCCAGACUGACCAGUCUGGUGUUUGUAUAAUGGCUAGGCUACUUAUUGUACACCAGGCUUUACUCAAUGGAUUUCCACACAUUACAGCUAGUGUAAUAGAUUGCCUACUGGGGGCCUCCAAUGGGGUUUUCAUCAUUUUGGCGCCCUUUUAACCAUAGCAGUUUUUGUGUGGUACACCUAUUUUCAAAGGUAAUAGAAUGUGUAGUUUGCUAAAUAGCACAAUUUACAGUCUUCCUUAAUUUUCUUGACAAAUUUAAAAGGGAUAUGUAGGAACAAGCUUAUAGAUCACUAUACAGUUUAGCUUGACUAAUCUAGAUGUUGUGCAAUCCAGAAAUCUGUGUAAAUUGUAUAUUUUGGUAUGUAACUAUAGUAAGGAAUUUUUCAAGAUUGGAUUUUCAUAGUCUCUCAUCCUGAUAGUGAUAAAAGGACAUCGUUAUAUCCAGAAUUUCAUGAGGCAGUCAUCCUUGCAGAAGAAUUGAAUUGAUCUUUUUAGGGAUCGAUUUAAAUAUGGUUUGAAUAUGUUUAUAGUUAGACUCUUCACAAUUAGAUAUAUACAAAAAAUACACAGUUAAUGACAAUGCUGAAAUUUGCUAGUUUUGUGACUUUAAUGGGAAUGCAGCUAGUCAUGAUAAGCACUGCCAUGCUGGUAUAUAUGUAGAUUGAUGUAGGGGCAUGCAGGGACCAAAUUUGUUUCAAUUUCUUGAAAAACUGUCAUUAAAAGUGUAUAUAUUUUCAAAAUAAAAUUGCUGAUUCAUUAGGAUGCAGACCUUGACAGAAGAUUUAGGAAGGAAGAGGAUUUUAAAAAAAAAAAAAAAAAGCAUUAUGUAGUCAUAUUACAGGAAUUUCGACUAUUGAAGUGGAGGGAAAUAUCCAAAAAGACCUUGAAACAAUUCACCUAUUAUGAUAAAAUAUGUCGAGAAUACUUUAGAUUUUAAUCAUUAGUGGUUUGGAAAUUUUAGAGAAAGAGUUUUCCAUGAACAAACGAAUUUGUAAGUGUUCAAACAUCUGAUGAAUUAUAAAAGUGACUAAAUUUUGGUUUUGGUAUAAGCUGGUUAAAACAAAUAUGGAUUAGGUUUUUUGUAAGCCAUGCCUUACAUUCAGUUUACUAUAUAUUUUUUUUACAGUAAGGAUGUAUCAAAUAUGAAUUAAGUUGCAAGCUCUGAAUGGUUAGGAUACUUUGAAUUAAUGUUGCCUUAGUGACAAACCCAGUAAUGCUUACUUUUGUUUCUUAAAAUGCCAGUCGACUUCACAGGAAGGUGACUUGGGUGGUACUGGUCUUCACAGAGUAAUGGAAAGCACCCUCUCUAUAUGCUGGUCAAAAAGAAAUUGUUUGAUAUCCACUGUUGAUCCUCAACUAACUAUUGUAGAUUAUUAUGAUUGGGGUCAUUUCAAAAUCUUUAUAGAAUGUGAACCAAUCAAAAUUGGUGAGCUAAGUAUCCAUAUAUAAUGAUACCUUCUUCUUAAAACAAACAUAGAUAACUUUUCAAUUGUGUAUAGCUGCUUUUGGUUUUUGUUGUUGUCAACCACAGAUAUGGCUUGCUUUUAUGAUUGUGAACAAGUUUUACUGUCUUUCACAGGAAUGACAAACCCUUUGAAAAUUGCAGUUAAGACUUGCUGUUUGUCAUUUCUAUGUAUUUGAUUCUCUUUGUAUUUGCUCCUGAUGAGAAAUAGAAAGACAAAAUCAUUCAACCAUGUGAAAGACUGAAGGUGCUUACUAUUGAAUCUCUGUUUGGAAGUGGUUCUUUGCUUAACUCUGUUUAAUUCAUUAAGAUUAUUGUAUGGUGCUCAGUUUUUUGUUGUUGUUUUGUUUUUUGUUCCUUAGCUGAAGAGUUCAAAACAGUCAUUCUGCUUCAUGUUCAAGAUGCAGAGUCGAGUUGUCGUGGGUUAAUUGCAUUAUUAGUAUGGUACACUACCACAGAGCUACACCUACUGGUAUCCACAGUCUUAUUUUCCACCCAAACAAUACUACAAUGUAUUACAUUACUCUCGUGAUAUUUUCUACCCCUAGACCUCUCACACUCAAAACUCUAAAUCACUCCACAUGAUAGAAGAUAUAUAUUUUCAGCGCUAAUGCAAUAGGAACACAACCCAGAAAUAUGUGGUUAGGCUUGGAAGCCAACCUAGGACCCCUGCAUCACCACCCGGGUGCUCUACCCACUGAGCUAUCCAGGUCAAUAUCCAAGGUUCACCAGCAUGAUCAUAUUCUAUUACAUCCCAGGUGCCAAAAUAAACCCCAUGUGGAGUUUCUGGAGAAUGAAAUCGAGACUGUUGAAAGGUAAAGGAAAGAAAAAGGAUGCUUAUAAAGAUGAAGAUAAGAGAAACUGGGGAAAAAAUACAAAGUGGUUGAACAUUGUGAACUGGAGAUGAGAGGAUUGCCAUUGAGAUAAGGAAAGAAGAUGGGACAAAUUAUCCACCUAAAUGAAUAUAUCUGGUACUAAUUGAUCUUUUCUGAUUUUUGUUUAAGAAAGGAAUAUAUGACAAAAACUCUUGGAUGAAAAAAAUAUAGGCUCAUCAACUAUGAUCUGCAAUGUGAUGUAAAAAGGGUCAAUCCAAUGCUUCUGGAAGAAGAAAACUAACUCUGGAAAAAUGUGGCUUUGAACAAGAAAAUAUGGCUAACAGUUACUUUUAACCAUGUUCUCCUUAUGCUGCAAGUUGUUGAGGGGAUGUGAUGAAAUUCAUGAUUUGACAGUUUGCAGUGGGAGAGGUCAAGCAAGGUCGAAUCAUGAAAUAUGUUUGGUGAUCCUAAAGAACUAUGAGAACCUCAAGGACUAUGCUGUAAUAGGGGACCAAUGCAUCAUAGUACCCAAAGACACUACUAGGCAAAGGACUCUUUUACUGAUGUCUACCACUGCCAACAGUUGGCAGAAUGGUGGGAUUCUCAAAACCAUGAUUCAAGUCAUCCCAGAAUAGGAAAUAAUGAACUGGUAACUGUUCCAAUACUGGCAUAACAAAAUACAGGGAUUCCAGUUAUGCAGUCAUAAAGAAGUUUCCCAAUUAAGCUCUGAAUCAGACCACUAGAUGAAUAAACCAGCAGUGAUACAUAGAAGCAAAUGCAUUAUGAACUAGCUUUGGCUGCAGUAGUAUUAAAAGAACUUGGUCACAUGUUCAACUUGUGUUAUAAUUGAAAUAAGGGUAUAUUUCUCAGGUUCAAAGUCUGGCUGGAGCAGCAUUAAAAUUACUUGGCUGUGUUUUGGGGUUUUUUUGGUUUCUGUUUUUGGAUGUUGCAGUUUUCAUUUGUUUUAUGAAACUAAGUAGAAGAGACUAAUAUGUUUUAAUAUGGAAUGCCCACUGGAAAAUAGUGUUUAGCACAUGUAAUGCAGUUGUAUGAGCAAUUUCAAUGGAAUACAAGCAAGGUCAUGUCACAAAAUGAACUGUUACAUGCUUUAAGCAGCUUAGUGAUGUUUAAGUGGUCAAGCUGUUGUGUACCAAACAGUUUUGGGAAAAAGGACAUGUUGAGUUUUCUACUGAAUUUAAGAAUUAUAUUAAUUGGCCUGGUAAUAAAAACACUUAUCGCAGGCUUGUGUACCAUUCAACUAUUAUCCGUCUGUAGGGGAGAAGACCUGGGAAACGUGCCCUCUGCCUUCAACAACAGUUUUCCAGGUCUUCUAUGCUUUAAGACAGCAGUUUGACUGCUCCACAGGAAGCCAUGCAAUAGUUGUAUACUGUGAUCUGGAAACAGUUUAAAUGUUCAAUAAUAUGCAACAAACAAAAUUAGGGAAACUAAAAAUUGAUGAAUUACAGUAUAUAUAGUAGAUAAGGGAAUAAACACCUUUAUUGUCCUUGUCCUUCAGAGUGGUCCCAUGGCCCCAUCCUUUGCUUGGUAAGGGGGAGGGGGGGGGGGGGUUGUAUGAACCAAAUUCAAUCAUAGCUAUAUGAAUGUGAGGAUGCAUGCAAUUUGUAUUUUAGAUGUCAUGUGGACAAGGGAUGCUUUCAUUUUAAUUUUUGACAAAUUGUACCAUUAAGAAAAUAUAUACAAGAUUUAUUCAUAUUACAUAAUGUUAUGUAAAACUAAAAUCUCUAUUAGGGCCCUGUCAUAUGGUGGGUGCCUUAUAGUGAUCUGUCUGUCAGCACUUUAGAUGACACAUGAUAACUUAAGCUUCCUAGGGAAGAUUUUCAAAAAUUCUAUACAUGAUACUGGGAUUAGGCAGAGGAAGACCGUUUUUGAUUUUUGGACGGAUUGUCUUUGUCAUUACAGAGUUAUGAGACUAAGAAUACUAUUUUUAUGUAGUGAAAUAAUAGUACUUAAUUUCUAUGGCACACACAAUGACUUGAAAAGAUUUCAUAGAAUUUAAAGGUAAUGCUUGGAUUAGAAAGAGGAAAAUCACUUUCAAUUUUCAGAUUUUUCAGUUUUGUUGUUUCAGAUUUAUGAAACUUGGAAUUUUUCAAAUUAAAAUAUUCAUUGUGGGCCUUUCCUGACUUGUCAAUUUUCUAGCUGUAGAAUUUCAUUGGCCCCUGAGGUCAAGGUUUACAGAAGCAUGAAUAUACUCUACAUAGGAUAAUUGCAUGCUGGUUGAGCAUUUUUUACCCUUGUGGUUCUUAAAACAAUUUUUCAACAACAAAAAAGUCCUAUGUUUGAAAUGAAAAAACUUGAUUCUUCCCUAUUUAUAAGAGAGUGUUUUGGCAAGAUUUAGAAGAGAAGCUUUUAAUUACCCCCAGCCUAAACCAGCUACUAGCCCAGACUUGGAUUUCUCAAAAAAAAUCUCAAACUUAAGUUGGAGUUUUCUUUUAUCUGCAUGAACAGUCAAAUUUGAGUAAAAUCUCAGACUUAAGUCCAAGUUUCGACUUGAGUUUAUUUCGAGAAAUCCAGGCAAGUGGCAGUAACAGAUUUAUUAUCCCAAGAUUAUCUGUUGCUAGGCCAUAAACUACUUUUAGACAAUGAUUUAACAAAGAACCUAAAGAUGGAGACGAUGCAUGCCAGUUGAAAUGGUCAGUUUCAUACCUCUUCAUCAAAUACAAAAAGUACUAUUGUCCACUGUGUGCUGGUCAGUUUCAUACCUCUUCAUCAAAUACAAAAAGUACUAUUGUCCACUGUGUGCUGGUCAGUUUCAUACCUCUUCAUCAAAUACAAAAAGUACUAUUGUCCACUGUGUGCUGGUCAGUUUCAUACCUCUUCAUCAAAUACAAAAAGUACUAUUGUCCACUGUGUGCUGGUCAGUUUCAUACCUCUUCAUCAAAUACAAAAAGUACUAUUGUCCACUGUGUGCUGGUCAGUUUCAUACCUCUUCAUCAAAUACAAAAAGUACUAUUGUCCACUGUGUGCUGGUCAGUUUCAUACCUCUUCAUCAAAUACAAAAAGUACUAUUGUCCACUGUGUGCUGGUCAGUUUCAUACCUCUUCAUCAAAUACAAAAAGUACUAUUGUCCACUGUGUGCUCAACAAACAUUUUCAAAAUUGUCCGGUAAAGAGAAAAUGGCAAGAACUCCUAUAAAGAAUAUAAAAUUUAGAAAAGAGCAAAAGUGAAAACACCAGGUACUUCUCCGUUUUGUCACUGAACCAACUUCUAUUUCUAUUAACGCAUACAUUAAAACAUUGAAGAUCUUAAAACGAAUGUACUCAUUCAACGUAAAAUUGACAGUUUUACAACAAAAAAUGUGUUUAUAUUAAUUUUAGAUUUACUAGCCAGGCGGGCUAAAACAGCAUCAAGUUUUUCUUGUCCAAAUUGUUCAUUUGGUACCGUCGGGCGAUGGUUAUUGCACACCCUUGGAAGGGAGAAUGGCUCUUUAUUUGAAACUUUGCAUCUCUUUUACCCAAGUUGUUGAAUGUGAUUAAUUAACAACAGGUGGCAGACAGAGUUUGAUCAGAAAACCUUGGACUAUCUAGACCUGACUAGUGAACCAUCAGAGUGGUGAGUCCUUGGACCAGUUUCUAUAAAGUAACUGUCCAAAGAAAAUUAGCCAUGCUCCAUGUAUAGUUUUCAAUUUGUUUUAUCAAAACCUCAUGUCAUGCCUUUCUGUAUAAUCCUAUGUUUAUUGGUGUAUACUUUUCUAUCGCAUUUUACCAGAAUGAAGCAAUACACAUGUUAAAUGCUUUCUUCAGAUAUCCUUUAGAAUGCCAGUGAUUUUGAAAAAUGUUCCACUGAGGGGGAGGGAGUUAGAUUAAAAAAAUAUGUAUCAAUCGAUACACACUGCUUCAGGGAAGUUAUACAAAAUGAGCAUCAGGAUCAGUCCUCUAGUGCCCAAAGGUGCAGGGGUCACACUGACAAGCAUGUGCUGGGUUUUGGGGGAGGGGGUACUUUUCAGGUGAUUUUUCUUUUGUCACCUUCUGUUGAAUUUUCUUAUCACUCAUUUUUACGCUAUGGCUGUGGAAAGGAUAUCUGCUGAAAUGAAAGAAAAGAAGAAAUUUAGAAUCUGUAAAAAAAAAAAAAAAAAAUCUUAAAAUCCACAAAUUUUCAAAUUCAAAUAUUUUCACAUAAUGCAGAAUUCAAAUUUGUUCAAACUGUUACACUGAAGUCUGGAAGGGGCCACAAUUGUAGUAUAAAGUUUAACAUAGGAAUAUGUAGGUGAAUCGUUUUAUCACAAUGUUAUGUAGGCCCCUGAAAUAGGUGGAUGCCCUAUAGUGAUCAGUCUGUGCAUACAUCCAUGCAAAUGCUUUUCCUGACUUUUUGGCUAUCCCUGCAGCUAUUGAAUUGAAAACCUUUAGACUUGAACUUGUAUUAAUGGGUUACAGAUUAAGUAUGCAGGAGUAUAAACAUGAGCUCUAUUGAAUUAUGCCCCUGGAAUCGGAACAGUUGUUUUGGUUUUGGUCCUGUAUGUCUGUGGCAAAAAUCUUUAGCGUCGGCGCAGGUUUGAAUCCCGCUCUCGCCGGUAAGUGAGAAAGUUUCCCAGUUUACUUUCGGAAGGUCGGUGGUCUCUUCCCAGGUACAUUGUAUCUGGGUUCUCUCUUCCACCAAUAAAAACUGGGUGCCACCAUAUAACUGAAAAAUUGUUGAGUGUGGCAGAAAACAGCAAAAAAACAACAACAAACAUAUCUUUUACUACAACAUAAGAGGUACAGCUUUCAUACUUAGCAUAUGUAUUCCUUGAGGCAAGACCUUUCCAUUGGUGCCGAAAUCUUUGACCCUGGGACCUUGAAAUUUACCUGACCUACUUUUAAAAUUGUUCACUAAAAUGAGUUCCACUUUGUUGUAAUCCGGGGGGCAUCAGUGUAUCACAAAUACGUCUUGUUUUCGAAAGAAUUAUGGACCUUGGUUUGGCAAAUUUCAGAAUUUGACAGUUUUCCCAGCA